UGUCCACUCUCACCCACCGCUUCCUUGACCGGUGGAUGGUCGUUAGCCAAACGGGUAGGACAAGGACUACAAUUCUCCCUUCAUUAAAAGUAUUAAUGAUAAAUACUAAGUAACUAAACUCUUAAUAAUACCUAAUCUUAGUUACUUAGGAAAAUGUGAAUAAGGUGCUAAUCCAUGAAAUUACACUUUGAACUUUGUUUAAGUCGGUUAAUGGAGCGUGUGUGGUUAACCGGCACACUAACUCGUAUUUAACAAGGUAGGCAAAGGGUAACUUAAUGUUUAUCAUAGUAUCAAUGGAGUGUGUGUGGUUAACCGACACAUCGAUUGAGGGGUAAACACUUAAGGGUACCAAGUAAUUUGCAUGGUUACUUCACACCUUGUUUGUCACACCCCAAAACCGGAACGGCAGAAAUGUUCUGGGGUGUAUGACGUCAUGUCAAGUAUCACAACACAUGCAUUAUAGUAAUCAAAGUACAACAAAACAUUUCAUUAAUAGUAAUAGUUUUACAUAGUUACAUUACAAUACAUCAAAGUAAUACAGACAAAUGUAAUAAGUACAGCAUGGUACUAAGCUAUCUUCAUCAACAGCUCCUGGGAGGUACCUGUCUAAUGCUAACCUGAGAAUACAAGUUAUUUGAAAAGCGAGUAUCAGCAUUUUUACAAAUGCUGGUGAGUUCAUAAGCAUUUAGUGACAUUUUAUUCAAAUAACCUUAUAAUGAAGUAGUUUAAGAGAUUUCAGGGUAUUAGAGUUCUUUCCAAAAAAUCCUAUAUUUUCUUUAAUAAGAGCAGCCUUCUACCAAGACUGCACAGAGUUAUGCGGUAAAAGUAGUUUUUCCCUUAAUCGCUAUCAUUAUCAAUUUAAAGAAUUUGAUUAUUAAAGAAAGCAAGAGAAGUCAGGGAAAUAACGUAUGCCUUAGCAGUGAGGACUGCUGACUAAGGCAAAGGAAUCAUAGACUCCAGGAGAGUAUCGAACGAACGACACGCCUAGUUCCGUCUAACAAAUGGAGACACAGACCCCAUAAGGUACCAAAUGAAAAGUACAGCUGGUAAGGUCUAAAACAGUGAAUACAGACCGCAGACAAUAUCAAAUGAAAGAUACAUCUUGCAAGGUGAAAACAAAGAAUACAGACCGCAGACAGUAUCAAAUGAAAGAUACAUCUCGCAAGGUCAAAAUGGUGAAUACAGACCGCAGACAGUAUCAAAUGAAAGAUACGUCUUGCAAGUUCAAAACAGAGAAUACAGACCAUAGACAGUAUCAAAUGAAAGAUACAUCUUGCAAGGUCAAAACAGUGUGACUCUGAAAAUGAGUUACCAGCAUACAGUGUAAAUUGUCGGUGAGAUACCGUUACCUUAAGACCAUGAAUUAUAAGGUAACCCAGGAUACUCGUAACCAUACUAACCGACACUAGAGUACCAGACGCCCUACAAGCGUCUAGAGAAUAUGACAUUUGUCACCCCUUGGCUUGGUAGGUCGUGGACUGUAGCUAGCAGUCAGGGUGCGGGGGUAUCAAUCCCGUAUAGAUCUAUACACAAAAUGUCCGCUCUCCCUACAGGAGACUCUGGUUACCAACUAGACGACGGAGAAGGCCGUGUCCUUAAGAUGCAUCCCAAAUAGUGGGUAGUGGGUUUCUAAUGUAAGUUUUGAACUAGAGGUAGAGACUCAUAACUGAACUGACUGAAGUAAACCCAUAUGUCUAUGCUUGUGUACAUAAGAUAUAACUAAUGAAUCAAACGACCUUCGGAUGGACAUCCAAUCCCACCAGACCACAUCUCAACGAAGAAAAGGAAAUAGGGCGGACAAGCCUUCCUAUGCCCUUCAAUCAUUACUUAUAUGCAUCUAGACAAGCACAUACAUACAUCUAACUACACAUGAGUGUGUAACAAGUGGAUUCAUAUCGUGAAGUAUAAGUGUAAAGUAUGGAAUAACCGAAUGGUGAAGUAUAAGCGUGCCAAAAGUAAGUGUAUCACAAAGUAGAAAUGACAACAAGUGAAGUAGGAGCGUAUCGAGUUUGAGUGAAGUAGAAGUGAUAUCAAGUAUGAGUGAAGUGGAAGCGUAUCACUAAGUAAGAGUGUGAACAAGUAUAAGCGUCCAGCAGGUACAAGUGUAUCACGAAGUGGAAACGUUAUCAAGUAUAAGUGUACCACGAAGUAGAAGCGGCAACUGGUGAAGUAAGAGCGUCUAUCAGGUAUAAGUGACUACCAGUAUAAGUGAAAUAGAGGCAAUAACAAGUAUAAGCGCUUCAAGAAGUGAAAGCGUUACCAAGUAGGAGUAUAAAAUAAGUAAAAGCGAAGCAGCAGUAACUAAGAAGUAAAAGUAUACGUCGUGAAAGAGAACUUCGAUGAAAGCCUUGGGAAAAACCUUUAUACUCAGGGAAAAUCACAUUUGGUAUUCUUUGGUAAAAGAAGUUUGAAAAACUUUAUAAAUUCCUUGGAAACUUUUCAUAAUCCAGUUUGAAAUGAACUUUGNUAUAAGUAAGUGAACAAGUGAAAACCUUUUUGAAAACCAUUUAUAGCAUCCUACUUGGUAAAAACAGUGUACAGUGGUAAAACCUUGUGCAUGCGUAUUAUCAAUCACAUGUGAUUGAUAUGAUAACUGGCAUGUUUAACUUCUAUUGCCCCCUAUAAAACAUGUACAAACAUUGAAAGGUUCAUUCAGGGGUAUGAACUCACCUGGUGUAAGUGGAUCUGACGAAGGUGCCGGUUGGGUGCUCGGUGUCAAAUAAGGACUUGGACACUCUUAAUGACCUAUUUAACAUAUGAUAACAUAUGUUCACAUAUAAUUAGUACAUUUAAUACUAAUUAAACAAGUAUAUGCACCCUAAAGAGCAGAAAACACUUGGUUAAGUGUUUAAGGUGUCCCGGGUAACAUCUAAGGGCUCAAAUGGCUUAGGAAUGGAGUUUACUCUCCGAGAGUAAACUCUCAAUACCAUGAUUAUGGCCCAGGGACUACUCACCAUGAGUUUACGGUCGUAAACUCAUGGUGAUGGGUUCUAGGGUGUUUUAAGGCUUCAAUCUUGAUAGUGGGAUUUUUCUAGGUCCAAUCCCAAAAGGCAUGAGUGAGUUUAAGGUCUUUAAGGGUAUCAUAAUGGAGUUUACGGCCUAGGGACAACUCCUAAGGGAGUUUACGGCCGUAAACUCUUAUUCUUUGAGUUUAGUGAAGUUUCAAGCCCUAAAUACCUUCCUAGCAAUUUAUAAUGAAGUGUGGGGCCAUUUGGGGGAAUUAAAACUAUCAUUUGGGCAUGUUUGGGGGUGUUUACGGCCUUGAUACAUGCAUGGGCCGUAAACUCCUUUUAAUCCCCUAAAUCUAUGUGUUUGGAUGAUCUAAACCCGAAAUGAUAAGCCCCUAAUUUAUGCCUUAAGUCCUAGGGUGUUUUAGGAGUGUUUUUGGGGCACUUUUGCAAGUUUAAGAGGUGUUUACAGCCUAAGCAUGNCAGCCUAAGCUGUGCUAGGGCCAUAAACUCUCUUUUAUGCCCUAAUGAGAUUGUUUUCCUAAGAGUAAACACUCCUAGGCUAAAUCCUCAAUUUAUUUCCAAGCUAUUAGGGACAUUUUAGGGUCAUUUUGGUCUCAUUUAAGGGGUUUACAGCCUAAGGAGGAUCUUAGGCCGUAAACUCCUUUCCAACAGCUUCUAAGUCCGAUUUUUAAGCUAUAAACAUGAAUCAUAAUGUUUAGAACAAGAUAGGAUAAGCGGACAUAUGAUUUGGAAGCGUUUGGUUGCGGAUUCGGGUCGAAAAUGAGUCUAGAGAGAGAGUAUAUAUAGAGAGAGAGAGUGAAAAAGGUUGAAAUGGGGUUUACUCCCCUUUAUAUAUGGGUGGGAGUUGGAGCUCAGUGGAAUUCUACCCGAUACUGUCGUUAUACGGGGCUUUUGGUCGCACCCGAUUUAGUGGUCGUAAUAAUAAAAACUAACCUUUCCAUUAAAAUGAAAAUGUGUAUUAUUAGUUUUUAUUUCUCUUAUCACGACUUAAUGACAUAAAUAAAUGAAACAUUUAUUUAUUUGACAACCUCGUAUUAACGGGACUUUCAUACAGUGGAAUAUUCCGUUAACGGUAACGGGGUAAUGUAACGGAAAAACUUUGGGUUGUCACAUUGUUUUGUGAUCCUCGGCAUCCUAGUCACAAAAGCUGAAGGGCACACUCGAGAUUGUAACAAAACCUAAUAAUACAUUUCGUUUAUCUUGGUGGAAAUUGGUGAAUCAUCAACGGCAUAUCUCUUCUGAGUUAUAAAAUCGUUUUUAGGGUCCUCGCCUUAAUAUCUCAUAUUGGGUGUUAUAUUAUGGACUUUUAAUCAACUAUCUUGAAUAUCUCCCAAAAUAUGUCUAGUUCAGACAUCUAUGAUCCUCCUAAAUCUCUUGGAACUUCACUUCCUCCACCUCCUCCAAUUAUUCUUCCUAUCCUACAAGUUCAUGGUCACUCAAGCCCUCUUGGCAAGGCAAGGUCUAGGUGUGCUCACAUAUUGGAGAUGAAGUCACGUACUGACAAGCCGUGAGAGUUGGGUGUCAAAGACUUGAGAAAGUUGGUGGUUCAAUCACUUUCUAAGUCACAUAGUGAGUUCCUUUGGGAAUCCUAUGAAACAGACUAUAACAAGACCCUUAAUAAUCUUAUCUAUUUGCUAAGAUCACCUUCCUAAAGCUUUAUGGACAUUGACAAUGAAGACACUGGAAAUCCAGAAAAAGUAUUCUCUUCCUAAUGCAAAGGGAUCGGCCAUAGUCAACUCGGUUGACCAAAUGGUAAAGAGAAAAGCUAAGUUUGUGAUAGUAACGGUACCAUUACCAAAGGGUACAUAUGUUUAUAUUGCCAAAGGAAGGGGCAUUAGUUGCGAAGCUGCCAAUUUUACGUAAGGAUGUUAAAGUGAAUAAGUUUGACCGUACUUCAAGUAAAAUCCACUAUCUAACUCUGCUAAGUUUCUAUAAUAAGAUUCUUGAUACAUGAUGUGACUGGGUCACAUAUUGAUGUUUGUAAGAAUCAAAGAAAAGUGAAGAAACUUAAAGAAAAAAUAUGUUGAAUCUGAUCGUGUAGAUGGAUUUCUAUCGCAUAGUUUGAAGAUUGGAUUCUUGAGCUACUUCUUAGGAGUUAUGAUAUAUUGCUUAGGAAUAGAUAACAACAAAGUUUUCAUGCUCUUUUGCAUUGUAAGGAUAGUUUUUCCGCAAAUUUUUUAAAAUAAAAGGAAAAAAUGAUGUUUUUAUUUAUUUUAAAAUAUCCUUACAAUGGAAUUUAAGGAAAAAAAUUGUUGCUUAUAUGAUUCCAUUAAUAGCAAGAGUGGAAAUAUGAAAUUGAUUCUUUCAUUUGUGGUAAUGUCUAAAUUUACCAAAUAAGGAAAGAUCCUCAUCACCCAUGUUUCAAUUGGACCGAAACUUGGAAUCAUGCAAGUUGUAUAGCAUGAUGAAUGAGAAUUUUUCAUCUUUGGAAAAUUAAGACUAGUUCCUUGUUCAUAUGUAUAUGUGUGUCAAGUGAAGGGCUAAGGGAUCGAGUACACAUUCUUGUGCACUGGCCAUAGUCCACCACAAAAGAUCGAUAAGAUUAUUUGUCAUAAUUUACUAAAGCUCAGUAAAUAUGGUUAUACUUACAAGCCUAAGUGUAAUUCUGAGACAUUGGAAAAGGUUCCAAUGUAUGGCAGAGCGAAUAAGAAGAAUCAAAUUAGGCAGAAGGAUAAAAGUUUCUCAAGUCUGAAAAGAUGGGAGAGUACUUUAGUAUCAUGUCAUAUGAUCAUCUUAAUGAUUAAGAGACCUUAUUGCAAUUCAUCCUCUAAGUGCAUUCUGAUAUCUAAGAAGAGGAGCCAUGAGUUGUUGAAGUGGUUAAAUCAAGAAGACGAGUCAUAUUUCAUUCAAAAACAAUUCUUAGAGUCAUACUCCGAGAUUGUAACUUGAGUGACAUGCCUUAAAGAAGGUUUUAAACACUUGUCAAAUGUAAGAAUACAACUUUUCUCCUUUUGUGCAUUUGAAAUUGGUUAGUUGUGAUGUUUUCGACAAAACAAAGACCAACUAAGGCCAAUUGUGUGAAGUGUUUGUCUUUAUUAGAAUCCGCACUAUCUCUGAAUAUCUGACAAGAAAGCCUUAUAUGUCAAGAGGACAGUGGGAGUCUUAAAGGUCUUGAAAGUCUCAAGAACUAAUCAAGAAUAAAACCUGAAGUUCUUCACUAGCACACGACUUGAGGUUUNAAAGUCUCAAGAACUAAUCAAGAAUAAAACCUGAAAUUUUUCACUAGCACACGACUUGAGGUUUACAACCUAUCGUGUUGACAUAUUAUGUGCCCAUUCCAAUUAAAGUUGGCUUUGCAUAUGAGUUCUUAGAGUUCUCAGUUGGCUGCACAACAACUUGGAAGCAAUGGCAGGCCCUUGAGCUGCCAGAUGGCAAGAAAUUAAGAUGGAGUUCAGUCCAUAUGAGUUUGGAUUUAUCAUUAUCAUUGUCUUGUGACUACGGUUUUGACAAAUUCACAUCGAUAAGAACACAUACACCAUAAAAUCUAAGUUUCAUAAGGUUUCUCUCCGAUUCAUAGAUUUUAAGUAGAUAGCAAUUGUGAUUUUUGCAGUUCUCAAACUCGUUAGUGGAGCAUGCGUGGUUAACCGACACACUAACAUGGACUUACGAGAAAUGGCAAAGGUCUAAACAAUUGAGACUAUGAUUACGACAUCCCUUUUCAUAGUUCCUAAAUUGUUUAGACACACAUGUGAUCUAUCUAAGAUAAGGUGUAUGAUGUUGAUAAAGUCUUAUCAAAGCAAUCUAGUAUUAGAAAUCUGAACUUUGGUAAGAAUGUCAAUAAAGUAUUGGCUUCUAGAGGUCUAGUUGUUUUUUGGAUACAUGCUAAAGCUAGUGGGAGCAUAAGUGUUAUGCUAAUAAUCAUCAUGUUAGUGGGAGCAUCAUAAUUAUGAUAAGUAUUGCAAGUUAGCAAGGUUAAUUAUAGAAAACAAAAGUUUCCAUUCGUGAGCUUGCAGGGGUUGAAAAAGUUGUUUUGCUAUAAUUAAAGGAGAGGAAAUUAUACUUCAUUUCAAUUCUAAAAUGCUUAGAUUGAGUUUANUAUAUAUAUAUAUAUAUAUAUAUGAACUUCAUGUUGGAUUGGAUCAACUUAAUAAAAUUCUAUACAUUAUGUUCUCAAAAUUUUAUUAUGAUUAUGGCAUCCCUUUUCUUAGUCAAACUUUGAGAAUAUGGCAAACAAAAAAUUUUAUUAUGGAGAAAGAUUGGUCUAAAGCCAUGUCUUUAAGUGAAACAUCAUGAAUCAUGUCCCAUUUACUUUGGGUACAAUAUUGAUUACAUGUGCUAUAAUAUUUAUCCUUUCUGGAUUUUCCAAAUGCAAUGGGGAAUUAAGGGGAACAAUGUCUAGAAUUGGAUAUGACUAAAGUGGUUAAGCAAUUGUCGAGGACAAUCUAAAGUUUACCAAAGAUUGGUUGCUCAAGGACAGUUGGAAGUAUACUAUUAAUAUUGGAAGGGCCAUAUUGACAUAGUCUGAAAAGAGGCAACUAUUGUUAAGAAGUGAUAGUCAAAAUGCGAAUAAUGAGUUGUCUCCAUAGAUGGAAGCAAUCUGUGUAAGAUUAGAAAAAACUUAGUGCAAGAAGCAUGUUCAAAGCAAUGCAUGCUUUGAACAUAAGGCUUUGUGUCCAUGGAGUAGGUCUUCAUUGGAAUACCUUGUAAUGGUUGUUGACAAGUCUUUGUGACUUUGUACACAUUCAUUGCAAGAGGGUAGUGCAUUUAAGUUUAAAAUCUAAUAGAUUUCGAUUUGGGAGUGUGAAAUUAGAAUCAUUGAAUGUUUGGUUAAUUGGUUUAUUUCACAAAAGUGAGGAUCAUAGACAAACAUAGAGUGCAUAGUUGGUGUAUGGCAAAGCUAUUGUUUAGAAAACAUAGUGUACAUGCUUCGAGCACGGGACACCUAGUGUUUUAAUUCAAGUAUAAAGUUGAUAAAACCGAAACAAUGAAUAAUAAGUAAUCAGUAUGGUGAUAAAUAGAAAGUGUUUUAUUUAUAUUCAUAGGUUUUGAUACCAUAUUAAAUUCAUUUAUUCUUGUGUUUCACUUUGCAUGUUUUGACUUCCAUAAUAACUAGGUUAUUCUUCUGGAAUGACUAAGUUAUUCAAAACCAUCCACAGUCGGUCAUAUAUUGGAAGUAGAUAUCAAUCAAGAUUGUCAUGAGUUGGCUUGUAGAGGUCCAAGUUGGUGGACAAAGUUGUGCUACAACACUCAUGAGUGCUCAUAAGUUCUGAAUAUUGGAUUCAACCCAUGCUCGUUUGAAUCACUUCAUGGAUUUUAUCAAGAGUGAUCAUGAGACGAUAAUAUCAUAUAUUAUUCAAACCUAGAGAUAUGAGUUGUUAGUAUGAGUUGGUUGUACAUUGAUUGCACGAAAACGCAUUCGGUAACUCGAUGUUAUAAAAAGUUCCUUUUGUAUGAUUCAACAAGUAGUUGAACAAGCCAUAUGAGUCGAAGUUUAUCCAUUCCUUUUACUUUCUGGAUAAAAGCAAUAUAUGUGGGCCUCUCGAUGAUUUAAUGAUGAUACAUGUGAGUGCUUGGCCAAGCCAUGACUGAUUUGAUUUGUUCAAUCAGUUAGUCGUCAUGAAUCGGAAAUCGAGAAACAACAAAUGGACAGAUAGAAUAAUUUAUAAUCCAUGUCUCAGUCCAUAUGAUAUCUAGAAUGGAGGAAUAUACAAUCCUUUACCUAAUGGACAAGUCAUUGACAAAGGUCAGAGUUCAUCGGCAAGGUCAGAGUUCAACAGAAGCUUUUGAGAGCUACAAUUGCUAGUUGGGGUUUGAAGUCAUAAUCAAUAAUAGUAUUAGACUUAUCCAAGGGGGAGACUGUUGGAUUAAUGUCUAAGUCCAUAACUAUAAUUGGUAAGACUUGACCCAACCCGGCAUGGUCCAUUUGGGUUGCAUGGCAUCGGGACAAUUGGAUAGACAAGAUGAGGAAAAAGGAUACUAGUGAUUUAUAUUAAUAUAUUUUAAGUCCUAAUAUGUUAAUAUAUAAACAUAUGAUUUAAUUAGUAUUGAUCAAGAAUUAAUUUAUAAUUAAUUAAGUGAUCAAAAGGAACUAAUUAAAUAUGGACUCUAAGAUAUAUUUCUAUGAUGCACCAACUUCAGUUAGGUUGGGCUAAGCUUUCAUGGAGAGUCCAUGGAGUGUUUAACCAAUGGAUCAUAUGAAAUGAAAGGUCAUGGGUAUUAGGGUUUAACCCUAGUAUCCACACUAUAUAAAGAUGUCAUUCGUUGGUGAAAUUGGCAGUAGUGUGUGUACACAAAAGGGCAAUGCCGAUUUCACUAGAGAGAACCAAAGUAUCCUUAUUCUCAAGGUUAUUCUAGGUGUUCAUGGUGUUGUGUGAACCAGUUGAGCUGUCACACUUGGGGCACUAGGAACUCAAGCUUCAUGAAGAAAAGUUAGAUCAUAAAAAGGUAUGUAUUCUAUCUAUUUUAUUACCCAAGUAUAUGAUAUUUGUAUGCUAGUAUAGGAUAAUAUCUUGGAAACUUCAUAUUUGCAUGUAUAAUAGAGAAAACAUAGAUCCAAGGUAUUUAGGGUUGUAUGUACACCAUAGGAUGUUGUAGUACACUAAAACCCAACAGAUGUAUCCAUAGGAAUUGAUGAAUAAGCCAUCUGAAUGGUAGACAGAGGCACUUUCUCUUGAGCAUCAUGGAUACAGUCAAAGAAGUCAUCAAGGUCUUCGUUUGACAAAAGAUUCUCAUUCACACCACAAUUUACCGCUAAAUCAUAUCUAUCGUAACCGGAUAGGUCAAGAUCCUCAUAAUCAUCAUCUUCUCCUCCUUCACUGAAAUCAUUUUGAACUGCCACAUUCACAAGAUCAUGCUCUUCAGCAACAAUGGUAGACGUAGCAACAUCUUCAAUCUCAUGGUCUAAAACGGUGAUGACAUCGUCAUUUACAUUUGCAUGCUCUGACGAUGCUUAAUCUGUAGACUCUUGUUCCGGGGACCCAUGAGAUUCUGACGAGUCGGCCAGUUCCAGAAACAUUCCAAAUUUCACGAGUGGAUACUUUCCUGAAACAUGAUUUUCCCUUUUCGAUUUUGCUUAAUAAGACUUAUAGUGUUAGGUACAUCAGGAAUUGAUCUUUUGACUUCGUGUUGGCAUUUGUAGUCAUCUCCUCCAAAAUGAAUUUUGAGAAACUGAAGUUAAUCCCCGCAGCUAGUGCAACAAUUUCCUGAGUAUUUCUUGAAGAGAUCUCAUCUGAACCACCCUUCCAUCCAGAAAUACAGGUAACAAACACAUGAGGUAGAAACCUCUAGUAAGGAGGUAACAACUUUUUCAAAGUGGGUGGGAAGUCUCCUUCAUAUCCCGUUUUCUCACAAUACUUUUCAACUUGUUCCAAGUUGAUAUCAGUUGGGUAAGUUUCCUGAUCAUUAAUCAUUAAAACAUUGCAGAUAAAUUGCUUAGUGAUAACAACUUUACACCCUUUGACAAAAGCUUCAUUGAUCACUGACCCAUCUUCUCCUUUCUUGAGAUUUGUAGAUCUCCAAAACUCAUUUAUUAGGUUCAGAUAAAUGAUUGGGUUCCAGGUUAGUGCAGCGAAGAUGCAGCAUUCCCUUAAUCCAAACAUCAUUGACUUGAAUUCAUUAUGUGCCACUGGGGGAUCAUCUAGGAGUAUUGACAUGUUAUGACUUUCAACAACCUUAAAACUUGCCAUUUCUGCCUAUAAGAUUCGAGUAUCAAUUUCAAGAAAUCACAAAAAAAAAAUUCGAGGAUAGAGAGAGUAAUGAGAGGUUUUCGGUCACGGUAAGAAAAAUGAANNNNNNNNNNNNNNNNNNGAUCCUUUCCCUUAUAUACUAGAUCCAUACCCGGAUCCAUAACCCAUGGGCUGUGUCCCUUCUUUUCUUCUCUUUUAAAAUUAUGAAGGACAAUACCCAAAACAAUUUUUUAAAAAAAUAGAACUUUUUGAGAAUUAAAAAUAUAAGAUAAAAAUAAAAUAAAAUAAAAUAAAAAUGAAAUAUUUUCUGAAAUUUACCAAUAAAAAAAUAAUAAAUAAAAUAAAAUUAAAAUUAAAAUUAACAUAUAAUUAAAAUUUGAAUUUUAACCCAAAUUUCACCUCUAAGUGAAAUUAAUAACCUAUUGAGACGUGGGAUCAAAGUUGUUGGACAGUCAUUUUCCAUUUGUCAGUACCCCUCCUUUCAUGAAUAGAUCUGGCCCAUCGCUGGUAUUGCGGUCCACUUAAACACGAAAACUUGUGACAGAUUUUAGGUAUGCUAUCAGUGACAGGAUAGAUUGAUCCUAAUUUCCUAGAUAACACUUCCUAAAGACCAUUCAUCUGACGACGACCAAGGAUAUUGUUGUCCACUUAAGUUGAGCAACGAGAUCUACAGACAAUCUAUAAAUGUUUAAUUUUCAUUGCACUAGAAUGUGUUUCCCGCUUCCUGAUAUACCCCAAUAAUCAAGGACUUCUGAAAUACUCCUUACUUUAGGUGAGAAGACAAUUAUUAGGAGAGAGGAUAGAUUUAGAAUGCAUAUGAUGUACACCUAGGUCGGAUCUCUUCCAAUCAUACAGAGGGUGAAACAUAUGAUUGACUAGAAUUUCAGAAGGAUUGAGAAGUAGAAGGUUGCAUAUGAUGUGUACCAGGUUGGAUUGUUAAUCACGCAAAGGAGACAGCAUAUGGCUAACAGGUAGAAAGAAUAACCUAGAUAGAAGAUAUAGAGAGACAAAUUUGCAUAUGUUGCAGUCCAUGUCGGAUCUUUUGAUCACACAAAGGACGCAACAUAUGACUAAUAGUAGGAAAGAAAGACAAUAACUUUCUAUAGACCUAAUUUUAUAGGAAUUACCCAGUCACUCCGUCAAUACCGGAAUUAAGGACAAAAUCCAUACAUCGAGUAAAAUUUAAUUCACAGUUCUAAAUACAGGUUUCUUUAGUGUGACUGGUGGAUUCUCAUGUAUAACUCCCUGCUCAAUCUACCCAAGCAUCAUAUUGCCAGGCUAAACGGAACUAUCUAGGUCAAUAUUUAUCAAGUUUCUAGAUUCCUUAAGCAUCAUAUUGCCAGGCUAAACGGAACUAUCUAGGUCAAUAUUUGUUCAAUCAGUCAGUCGUCAUGAAUCGGAAAUCGGGAAAAAACAAAUGGAUAGAGAGAAUAAUUUAUAAUCCAUGUCUCAGUCCAUAUGAUAUCUAGAAUGGAGGAAUAUAUGAUCCUUUAUCUAAUGGACAAGUCAUUGAGAAAGGUCAGAGUUCAACAGCAAGGUCAGAGUUCAAUAGAAGCUUUUGAGAGCUAUGAUUGCUAGUCGGGGUUUGAAGUCAUACUCAAUAAUAGUUUUUGACCUAUCCAAGGGGGAGACUGUUGGAUUAAUGUCUAAGUCCAUAACUAUAAUUGGUAACACUUGACCCAACCCGGCAUGGUCCAUUUUGGUUGCAUGGAAUCGGGACAAUUGGAUAGACAAGAUGAGGAAAAAGGAUACUAGUGAUUUAUAUUAAUAUAUUAUAAGUCGUAAUAUGUUAAAAUAUAAAUAUAUUAUUAAAUUAGUAUUGAUCAAGAAUUAAUUUAUAAUUAAUUAAGUGAUCAAAAUGAACUAAUUAAAUAUGGACUCUAAGAUAUAUUUGUGUGAUGCGCCAAUAUCAUUUAGGUUGGGCUAAGCUUUCAUGGAUAGUCCAUGGAGUGUUUAAGCAAUGGAUCAUAUGUGUCACACCUCGAAAACCGAAGGCGAAAACAUUUCCGGGGCUGACUCCACGGUGAGUAUCAACUCCAAUGCACAUACUAAUCAAAGUAAACAACCAUUACAUUACAUAUAUUUGAAAGUUUACAUUUGUUUCAAAAGUAAAUUGUACAAGUGUGAUACACAAUAUAUGAACAAAAUGAGACGAGUCUUCUGCGCACUCCGUCUUCACCAAAAGCGAUCUCCGGGCAUCUGUCUAAUGCGGACCUGAGAAUACAAGCGGUUUGAAAAUCAGCAUAAAGCUGGUGAGUUCAUAAGAUGUUUUUUUUUUUUAAAAUGUAUCAGUUUCCUUUAAUUUUCCGAAAAGGUUUGUUAUCCAAGAAAAUCCCAUAUUUUCUUAUGUAAAACAGUUUAGUUAUCUUUCAUUACCAGUUUAAUUACGCGUUAUAUGUUACUCCAAGAAAAUCCCAUAUUUUCCAAAAUACAAGACCGAUUGAAUAUCACAGAGUAUAGUUUAAUACACAAAACUAAAUAUUGAGAAUCGUGGGAUUACUAUCCCGAAUUAGAUAUUAAAUACUUUGAUAUACAUGAACUGUAUAUGAAAAGUAGUUUGAAAACCUUGGGACUAACAUCCCGUACUACAUAUAAGAUAGCUUGAUAUACAUGAAAAUAUAGAUUUAAUACCAUGGGACUACCAUCCCGGACUAGACAUAGAUUCAAAACCAUGGGGUUAUCAUCCCGUACAUGAUAUAGUUUCAAAACCAUGGGAUUACUAUCCCGAACUAGAUAUAAGAUAGUUUGAUAAAAUCAUGGGAUUACUAUCCCGAACUAGAUAUAGAUUGUAACCAUAGGAAUAACAUGCUGUAAUAGAUAUGAGACCUAUAGAUUUAAAAACCAUGGGAUUACCAUCCCGUACUAGAUAUAAGAUCAAAAGAUAGAAUAUUGAUAUAAAAUCAAAACCAAAACCAAAGUCGUGAAUAAUAAUAUAUUAAUACAUAUUGUGAGUCGGGUAACCAUGCUGAUAUGACAACGAGACCUCCUUGACGCUUGUCAGACGUCGGAUGAUAUCCAGAAUCUCACCCCAGGCAUGCCCGCCUAACUGUAGCUAGCAGUUAAGGUGUGGUAUUGUCAGUCCCGAAUAGAUUUAUUCACAAAUUCCACGCUCUCCCUCCUGGAGACUCUGGUUACACUUCCGGGGAGGAUUUACUAAUAACCCAAAAGGGUAAUGACAAAUCUCACAAACUAGUUGUAGCACCUGGUUUCCGGUAUGUGAAUUUUAUUUGAGCAUUGCCCUAAUUUAGCCUUAGCCUCGGCGAGUCAUAGGGUCCGACUCGCCGAGUAGGGACGAGACUCAGGACGCGUUUUAAGUAGGCGACUCGACGAGUCCAUAUCCUGGACUCGGCGAGUCACCGCUGCGGGAUGAAACCCUAAGUUUCAAGGGUUUGCACCCUAUUUAAACUCUCAUUCCGCCCCAACUCGUCCCCAUUCACCCCCAGAACUCCCCCUACAUCGUUUUCCCUUGUUUUCUUGAGAGUUUGAGGUGUUCUUGGCGUGUUCUUGAAGGUUUUGAAGUGUAAGAGGAGUAGAUCAAGAAGAGGAGAAGGAGAUCAGCCAUCCUUGUGUCAUUUCAACAUUUCCUUUGAGGUAUAACCCGUUUUCCCCUUGAUUCUAUGCUUAAAACUUCAUUUGGGUCCUUCUUGGUCAAUUUCCCAAGUUUGCAUGUUCAUUAUAUGUUGUAAUAAGGCGUUUGGCCUUUGGAUCUAUGUAAGAUUGAGCUCCAGGAGCUCAAAUCUGUUAGCUUUUUGGCCCCAUAAGGCUUGUUAGCCCUAGAUCUACCAUUUUGAGACAUUUUGAGCCUUAUAAUCCAUGUUGGUGAAUAUCCACACGUAAAGUUGGAAACUUUACGUGUGAUUCGUGUCCUAGAAGUCCAGAUCUAUGAAUGGCAUGGUCUGGAACCGAGCAAAUCGGUAUAUUUAAGGAGUGCAUGGCGACGACUCGGCGAGUCGCAUAGGUGACUCGGCGAGUCUGGUCGCGAGUCACCGAAUUGGUCCCUUCUUCAUGUGUCGAGUUGAGCCUUGAGUCACAGGGGGUGACUCGGUGAGUUGGGAGCUGAACUCACCCAUGUUAGGACUCGGCGAGUCAAUGCCCUGACUCGGCGAGUCCAAGGCAAUCUUCAUAGCUCAAGAACAGACUCGGCGAGUUGUUCAUACAACUCGGCGAGUCUUAGCAUAAAGUGUUCAUCGGAUGAAGAUGAACUCGACGAGUUGUUCAUACAACUCGGCGAGUAGGAUGAAGGUGUUGAAUGGCAGUUAGAAGGUGAACUCGUCGAGUCAUAGCCCGACUCGACGAGUAGAACCAGGGACCCAGGACAUUGGUUUGCUAGGGACUCGGCGAGUGGUGAUCCACUCGGCGAGUCGGGUCAACUGAAAGUUGACUCCAGCUUUGGCUUAGAGUUAAUCCAGGGGUAAAAUGGUCAUUUUACCUAAAGGACAGUUAGCAGUGUUUGAUUGAGUAUGUCGUGGAAAUUGCAGCCGGAGGACUCCCGGAGCAGCAGCAGUCAGUUAGUUCCCGAUCAGUUCAGCAGCUACUUUGAGGUGAGUUACCUUCCAGUAGCGGUGGGUCUAAGGCCACAAUGCCGACCCACCAGUAGGAGUUGUAUGAUAGAUGAUUGUCUUUGUGAUAUCAUCUAAGUUCGCUAGUACCUGACAUGUUAUAUGCUAGCAUGAUAUGCUGUAUGUGAUAGUAGUAGAGUUUGGUUGUUCGGACCGAAGGGUAGUCAGACACCCCAGAUACGUCUGACAGUAUGUGACGAUAUGUAUGCAUGCUGGCUUGUUAUGUUAUAUGUGAUCGUAGUAGUAGGGGUGAAAUAGUCCCCGAGGAUCGGUUGUUAGGACCGAUGGGUAGUCAGCACCCCAGAAUGGCUUGACACGGGUAAGACGGCACCCCAGAAUGGCCGUAUGGGUAGGUCGGCACCCCAGAAUGGCCGUACCGGGUAGUCAGGCACCCCAGAAUAGCCUGGCAGUAUAUAUGUUAUGUGUUUGUAUGGUAUGCGGUACGUUGGGGGAACUCACUAAGCUUUGUGCUUACGUUUACAGUUUUGUUUUCAGGUACCUCUGCAUCGAAGGGGAAGGAGCCGGCGCGGUAGCGGCACGUCAUACACACACUCUUCGGUUUCCGCAUUUAUGAGAUUUACUGGGAUUGUACUCUGAUAUUUGAUGGGAUGUACGGUUUGGCUUUUGAGAACAUGGUUGCAAUGUGUUAUGGUGUGAACAAACAAUGUUUCUUUUUAUUUAGACAAUGUUUUUAUUUAUUAAUGUUUUCUAAAGUAAUAUCAAANNNNNNNNNNNNNNNNNNNNNNNNNNNNNNNNNNNNNNNNNNNNNNNNNNNNNNNNNNNNNNNNNNNNNNNNNNNNNNNNNNNNNNNNNNNNNNNNNNNNNNNNNNNNNNNNNNNNNNNNNNNNNNNNNNNNNNNNNNNNNNNNNNNNNNNNNNNNNNNNNNNNNNNNNNNNNNNNNNNNNNNNNNNNNNNNNNNNNNNNNNNNNNNNNNNNNNNNNNNNNNNNNNNNNNNNNNNNNNNNNNNNNNNNNNNNNNNNNNNNNNNNNNNNNNNNNNNNNNNNNNNNNNNNNNNNNNNNNNNNNNNNNNNNNNNNNNNNNNNNNNNNNNNNNNNNNNNNNNNNNNNNNNNNNNNNNNNNNNNNNNNNNNNNNNNNNNNNNNNNNNNNNNNNNNNNNNNNNNNNNNNNNNNNNNNNNNNNNNNNNNNNNNNNNNNNNNNNNNNNNNNNNNNNNNNNNNNNNNNNNNNNNNNNNNNNNNNNNNNNNNNNNNNNNNNNNNNNNNNNNNNNNNNNNNNNNNNNNNNNNNNNNNNNNNNNNNNNNNNNNNNNNNNNNNNNNNNNNNNNNNNNNNNNNNNNNNNNNNNNNNNNNNNNNNNNNNNNNNNNNNNNNNNNNNNNNNNNNNNNNNNNNNNNNNNNNNNNNNNNNNNNNNNNNNNNNNNNNNNNNNNNNNNNNNNNNNNNNNNNNNNNNNNNNNNNNNNNNNNNNNNNNNNNNNNNNNNNNNNNNNNNNNNNNNNNNNNNNNNNNNNNNNNNNNNNNNNNNNNNNNNNNNNNNNNNNNNNNNNNNNNNNNNNNNNNNNNNNNNNNNNNNNNNNNNNNNNNNNNNNNNNNNNNNNNNNNNNNNNNNNNNNNNNNNNNNNNNNNNNNNNNNNNNNNNNNNNNNNNNNNNNNNNNNNNNNNNNNNNNNNNNNNNNNNNNNNNNNNNNNNNNNNNNNNNNNNNNNNNNNNNNNNNNNNNNNNNNNNNNNNNNNNNNNNNNNNNNNNNNNNNNNNNNNNNNNNNNNNNNNNNNNNNNNNNNNNNNNNNNNNNNNNNNNNNNNNNNNNNNNNNNNNNNNNNNNNNNNNNNNNNNNNNNNNNNNNNNNNNNNNNNNNNNNNNNNNNNNNNNNNNNNNNNNNNNNNNNNNNNNNNNNNNNNNNNNNNNNNNNNNNNNNNNNNNNNNNNNNNNNNNNNNNNNNNNNNNNNNNNNNNNNNNNNNNNNNNNNNNNNNNNNNNNNNNNNNNNNNNNNNNNNNNNNNNNNNNNNNNNNNNNNNNNNNNNNNNNNNNNNNNNNNNNNNNNNNNNNNNNNNNNNNNNNNNNNNNNNNNNNNNNNNNNNNNNNNNNNNNNNNNNNNNNNNNNNNNNNNNNNNNNNNNNNNNNNNNNNNNNNNNNNNNNNNNNNNNNNNNNNNNNNNNNNNNNNNNNNNNNNNNNNNNNNNNNNNNNNNNNNNNNNNNNNNNNNNNNNNNNNNNNNNNNNNNNNNNNNNNNNNNNNNNNNNNNNNNNNNNNNNNNNNNNNNNNNNNNNNNNNNNNNNNNNNNNNNNNNNNNNNNNNNNNNNNNNNNNNNNNNNNNNNNNNNNNNNNNNNNNNNNNNNNNNNNNNNNNNNNNNNNNNNNNNNNNNNNNNNNNNNNNNNNNNNNNUGUAGCACCUGGUUUCCGGUAUGUGAAUUUUAUUUGAGCAUUGCCCUAAUUUAGCCUUAGACUCGGCGAGUCAUAGGGUCCGACUCGCCGAGUAGGGACGAGACUCAGGACGCGUUUUAAGUAGGCGACUCGACGAGUCCAUAUCCUGGACUCGGCGAGUCACCGCUGCGGGAUGAAACCCUAAGUUUCAAGGGUUUGCACCCUAUUUAAACUCUCAUUCCGCCCCAACUCGUCCCCAUUCACCCCCAGAACUCCCCCUACAUCGUUUUCCCUUGUUUUCUUGAGAGUUUGAGGUGUUCUUGGUGUGUUCUUGAAGGUUUUGAAGAGUAAGAGGAGUAGAUCAAGAAGAGGAGAAGGAGAUCAGCCAUCCUUGUGUCAUUUCAACAUUUCCUUUGAGGUAUAACCCGUUUUCCCCUUGAUUCUAUGCUUAAAACUUCAUUUGGGUCCUUCUUGGUCAAUUCCCCAAGUUUGCAUGUUCAUUAUAUGUUGUAAUAAGGCGUUUGGCCUUUGGAUCUAUGUAAGAUUGAGCUCCAGGAGCUCAGAUCUGUUAGCUUUUUGGCCUCAUGAGGCUUGUUAGCCCUAGAUCUACCAUUUUGAGACAUUUUGAGCCUUAUAAUCCAUAUUGGUGAAUAUCCACACGUAAAGUUGGAAACUUUACGUGUGAUUCGUGUCCUAGAAGUCCAGAUCUAUGAAUGGCAUGGUCUGGAACCGAGCAAAUCGGUAUAUUUAAGGAGUGCAUGGCGACGACUCGGCGAGUCGCAUAGGUGACUCGGCGAGUCUGGUCGCGAGUCACCGAAUUGGUCCCUUCUUCAUGUGUCGAGUUGAGCCUUGAGUCACAGGGGGUGACUCGGUGAGUUGGGAGCUGAACUCACCCAUGUUAGGACUCGGCGAGUCAAUGCCCUGACUCGGCGAGUCCAAGGCAAUCUUCAUAGCUCAAGAACAGACUCGGCGAGUUGUUCAUACAACUCGGCGAGUCUUAGCAUAAAGUGUUCAUCGGAUGAAGAUGAACUCGACGAGUUGUUCAUACAACUCGGCGAGUAGGAUGAAGGUGUUGAAUGGCAGUUAGAAGGUGAACUCGUCGAGUCAUAGCCCGACUCGACGAGUAGAACCAGGGACCCAGGACAUUGGUUUGCUAGGGACUCGGCGAGUGGUGAUCCACUCGGCGAGUCGGGUCAACUGAAAGUUGACUCCAGCUUUGGCUUAGAGUUAAUCCAGGGGUAAAAUGGUCAUUUUACCUAAAGGACAGUUAGCAGUGUUUGAUUGAGUAUGUCGUGGAAAUUGCAGCCGGAGGACUCCCGGAGCAGCAGCAGUCAGUUAGUUCCCGAUCAGUUCAGCAGCUACUUUGAGGUGAGUUACCUUCCAGUAGCGGUGGGUCUACGGCCACAAUGCCGACCCACCAGUAGGAGUUGUAUGUUAGAUGAUUGUCUUUGUGAUAUCAUCUAGGUUUGCUACUACCUGAUAUGUUAUAUGCUGGCAUGAUAUGUUGUAUGUGAUAGUAGUAGAGUUCGGUUGUUAGGACCGAAGGGUAGUCGGACACCCCAGAUACGUCCGACAGUAUGUGAUGAUAUGUUUGCAUGCUGGCUUGUUAUGUUAUAUGUGAUCGUAGUAGUAGGGGGUGAAAUAGUCCCCGAGGAUCAGUUGUUAGGACCGAUGGGUAGUCAGCACCCCAGAAUGGCUUGACACGGGUCAGACGGCACCCCAGAAUGGCCGUAUGGGUAGGUCGGCACCCCAGAAUGGCCGUACCGGGUAGUCAGGCACCCCAGAAUAGCCUGGCAGAGCGUAUGUUAUGUGUUUGUAUGGUAUGUGGUACGUUGGGGGAACUCACUAAGCUUUGUGCUUACGUUUACAGUUUUGUUUUCAGGUACCUCUGCAUCGAAGGGGAAGGAGCCGGCGCGGUAGCGGCACGUCAUACCCACACUCUUCGGUUUCCGCAUUUAUGAAACUUACUGGAAUUGUACUCUGAUAUUUGAUGGGAUGUACGGUUAGGCUUUUGAGAACAUGAUUGCAAUGUGUUAUGGUGUGAACAAACAAUGGUUCUUUUUAUUUAGACAAUGUUUUAUUUAUUAAUGUUUUCCAAAGUAAUAUUUUAAAAAUGAAAUUUUCGGACGUAAAAAUUGGGUCGUUACACUAGUACUAAGUAUUCACGGAAUUCUCAAACGAUAUCAAACAUACUAAAUGAUAUGAAACAUAAUACAGUGAAAAUAGUUAUAUACAAUGAAAUUAUCUAGCAAUAUAUACUAAGAGAAAUGCAGAUAAACUAAAUCAGACAUAGUUUAUCUAAUAAACUUUAUAUAUAUCAAUAUGUGAUGAAACGAGAACUAAAGAACCCCAAAUUAUUCCCAUAAUAAUUUGAUUAGUUUGGUUAUUUCCUUAGCUAAAAUUCAUAUAGUUUUGAUUGAUAAAUCAUCCCUUAUGCUCAGCAUAAUACAUAAGGGGUAAAAAUAUUUAUAAUUUGCCAGAUAUUUAUUGAAUUUCAUCAAUGUUAUGUUUUGAAAACAUUUGUAAUUUGCUUGUAUUCCCCCCUCCCCUGAAAACAUUGAAUAACCAUUUAAAAAGGGUAGGGGUAUGAACUCACCGGACGAGGAACGUGUCUGCUUGGAUCCUAAACGUCGUUUCUGGGUUUGCAAACGCACGAGGUUCCUAUGAAUUAUGAAACGAUACAUAUUUUUAUCUCAUUAUAACUUAUAUUAUUUAUUUGGUAGAGACAAACACUUCUAGUUGCGAAAACACUCCCUUACAAGUGUUUGGAAGGACCCGGGUGACGUUUGAAGUCACAUAAGGCUUGGAUAUGGAGUUUACUCUUCAAGAGUAAACUCAUAUAAGAGAUUUCAGCCCUAAUGACCCCGUCCCCAUGAGUUUACAGCCAUAAACUCAUGGUGGGGUGUUUUAUGACGCAAAAUGGUCUUAUACUAUUUGGGGAGAUUUGCAAGGAUCAAUUCUAGGGCCUUGGAAUGGAUUAAACAUAAUUAUGGACAAUUUAUUUGAGUUUAUGGCAGUAACCAUGGAGUUUACGGCCGUAAACUCCCCCCUCAUACCAAAUCCUUAAAGUUUUGGUCCUUAAUCAAUCACAUGUGAUUCCAAUCAAUUUUUCCAAGCCUUGUAUGAAUUUUUAGGGGUCUUUGGACAUGGAUUUAGGAGUUUACGGCCCAUGAACUCCCUCAUGGGCGUGAACCCCUUAGAUGGGGGAUUUAAUAUGUUUUAAGGUCCAACUCUUGUUUGUGGUCACUUCUAGAAUUUAUCCCAAGGCUUAUGGUGUGUGUAAAUGGCAUUUUAACACUCUAAAAAGGAGUUUACUCCCCAUGAUAAUGAGUUUACAGACCAAGAAUGUUCUUAGGCAGUAAACUCAUGUUUACUCCUCUAAUUUAAUGUUCAAGGUGUCCCAAGGCCAAAUCCAAUAUUCUACAAGUCGUAUCUAAGCUUCAGUCGAGUUUUGGAAGGGUUUAAGGGCAUAAAAACCCCAUUUAUUUGAGUUUACGGCCCAAGCAUGCUCUUAGGCAGUAAAAUCAUGUUUAAUCAUCAAAUUCCAUGUUUAAGGCAUCCUAAGUCCAUUCCAUUAAGCCAUUAAGCCAUAUCUAAGCUCCAAAGGUUGAUUGGAAGGGUUUCUGGGAUCUAAAACCCAAUUUAUGUGAGUUCACGGACUAGGACUGUUCUAUGGCCGUAAACUCAUGAAUAUCGUCCUAUUCCAUGAUUUGAACUCGAAUUUGAAGGCCUAAGAUGUUAUACUAGGUGUUAGGGUAGUUACCUUGGUGAUUUGGAGCUUAAAUUUGAUGAUUUUGGACCCUUAAACUUGGUUGAGGAGAGAGGUUAGAGAGAGAGUAGUGAGAGGAAGCAAAAUCUUCAAAUGAAUGAUUUAACACGUUUAAAUAGGUCUCAAAUCUUGGACACGGUGAAAUUCUAGCCGAUACCGGCAUUAAACGGGGCUUUUGGUCGCACCCGAUUAAGUUUCUGUAACCCGGCGGCGACGUUUCUAAACUUUUUGAAAUAAACAUUUUCGGCUAAUUUCAUGAGUUCCUAAGGGAUUUGGACACACAUUAGAUUAUAAUAAACAUAUAAGUUUAAAUAAUUUAACCCAAAACAAAAACAGAAUGAAUUGGUAAACGACAAAUUUUUACUGGUAGAACGGGUUUUCGACGAUGGAAAACUUCGGGUUGUUACAAUAUGAAAUGAAAGGUCAUGGGUAUUAGGGUUUAACCCUACUAUCCACACUAUAUAAAGAUGUCCUUGGUUGGUGAAAUUGGCACUAGUGUGUGUACACAAAAGGGCAAUGCCGAUUUCACUAGAGAGAACCAAAGUAUCCUUAUUCUCAAGGUUAUCCCAAGUGUUCAUGGUGUUGUGUGAACCAUUUGAGGUGUCACACUUGGGGCACUAGGCACUCAAGCUUCAUGAAGACAAGUUACAUCAUAAAAAGGUAGGUAUUCUAUCUAUUUUUUUACCCAAGUAUAUGAUAUUUGGAUGCUAGUAUAGGGUAAUAUCUUGGAAACUUCAUAUUUGCAUGUAUAAUAGAGAAACCAUAGAUCCAUGGUAUUUAGGGUUGUAUGUGCACCAUAGGAUGUUGUAGUACACUAAAACCCAAUAGAUGUGUCCAUAGGAAUUGAUGAAUAAGCCAUAUGAACGGUAGACGGAGGCACUUUCUCUUUAGCAUUAGCUUUUUCCCUUAUCUCUAAUGUUUGAUUAGCACCAUCAUGGAUACAGACAAAGAAGUCAUCAAGGUCUUUGUUGGACAAAAGAUUCUCAUUCACACCACAAUUCAGUGCUACAUCAUAUCUGUCAUAACCGGAUAGGUCAAGAUCCUCAUAAUCAUCAUCUUCUGCUCUUUCAGUGAAAUCAUUUUGAACUGCCACAUUCUCAAGAUCAUGCUCUUCAGCAACAAUGGUAGACGGAGCAACAUCUUCAAUCUCAUGGUCUAAAACGGUGAUGAUAUCAUCAUUUACAUUUGCAUGAUCUGACGAUGCUUGAUCUGUAGACUCUUGUUCCGGGGACCCAUGAGAUUCUGACGAGUCGGCCAGUUCCAUUAACUUUCCAAAUUUCACGAGUGGAUACCUUCCCCGAAACAUGAUUUUCCCUUUUUGAUUUUGCUUAAUAAGACUUAUAGUGUUGGGUACAUCAGGAAUUGAUCUUUUGACUUCUUGUUGGCAUUUGUAGUCAUCUCCUCCAAAAUGAAUUUUGAGAAACUGAAGUUAUUCCCCGCAGCCAGUGCAACAAUUUCCUGAGUAUUUCUUGAAGAGAUCUCAUCUGAACUUCCCUUCCAUCCAGAAGUACAGGUAACAAACACAUGAGCUAGAAACCUCCAGUAAGGAGGUAACAACUUUUUCAAACUGGGUGGGAAGUCUCCUUGAUAUCCUGUUUUCUCAAGAUACUUUUGAACUUAUUCCAAGUUGAUAUCAGUUGUGUAUGUUGCCUAAUCAUUAGUCAUUAAAACAUCGCUGAUAAAUUGCUCAGUGAUAACAACUUUACACCCUUUGACAAAAGCUUCAUUAAUCACUGACCCAUCUUCUCCUUUCUUUAUAUUUGCAGAUCUCCAAAACUCAUUUAUUAGGUUCAGAUAAAUGAUUGGGUUCCAGGUUAGUGCAGCGAAGAUGCAGCAUUCCCUUAAUCCAAACAUCAUUGACUUGAAUUCAUUAUGUGCCACUGGGGGAUCAUCUAGGAGUAUUGACAUGUUAUGACUUUCAACAACCUUAAAACUUGCCAUUUCUGCCUAUAAGAUUCGAGUAUCAAUUUCAAGAAAUCACAAAAAAAAAUUCGAGGAUAGAGAGAGUAAUGAGAGGUUUUCGGUCACGGUAAGAAAAAUGAAGGGAAAGAGGAAUUCGUUUGAUCCUUUCCCUUAUAUACCAGAUCCAUACCCGGAUCCAUAACCCAUGGGCUGUGUCCCUUAUUUUCUUCUCUUUUAAAAUUAUGAAGCACAAUACCCAAAACAAUUUUUAAUAAAAAUAGAACUUUUUGAGGAUUAAAAAUAGAAGAUAAAAGUAAAAAUAAAAUAAAAUAAAAACGAAAUAUUUUCUAAAAUUUACCAAUAAAAAAAUAAUAAAUAGAAUAAAAUUAAAAUUAAAAUUAACGUAUAACUAAAAUUUGAAUUUAAACCUAAAUUUCACCUCUAAGUGAAAUUGAUAACCUUUUGAGACGUGCGAUCAAAGUUGUUGGACAAUCAUUUUCCAUUUGUCAGUACCUCUCCUUUCAUGAAUAGAUCUGGUCGAUCGUUGGUAUUGCGGUCCACUUAAACACGAAAACUUGUGACAUAUUUUAGGUAUGCUAUCAGUGACAGGACAGAUUGAUCCUAAUUUCCUAGAUAACACUUCCUAAAGACCAUUCAUCUGAUGACGACCAAGGAUAUUGUUCUCCACUUAAGUUGAGCAGCGAGAUCUACAGACAAUCUAUAAUUGUUUAAUUUUAGUUUCACUAGAACGUGUUUCCCACUUCAUGAUAUACCCCAAUAAUCACGGACUUCUGAAAUACUCCUUACUUUAGGUGAGCAGACAAUUAUUAGGAGAGAGGAUAGAUUUAGAAUCCAUAUGAUGUACACCCAGGUCAGAUCUCUUCCAAUCAUACAGAGGGUGAAACAUAUGACUAAUAGUAGGAAAGAAAGACAAUAACUUUCUAACUACCUAACUUUAUAGGAAUUACCCAUUCACCCCGUCAAUACCCGAAUUAAGGACGGAAUCCGUACAUCGAGGAAAAUUUAAUUCACAGUUCUAGAUACGUGUUUCUUUAAUGUGACUAGUGGAUUCUCAUGUAUAUCUCCUGGCUCAGUCUACCCAAGCAUCAUAUUGCCAGGCUAAACGGAACUAUCUAGGUCAAUAUUUAUCAAGUUUCUAGAUUCCUUAAGUUCAUCUAUACCUAGUCAAGUCCAUUAAACUUUCCGUGCCUACCAACACAUCGAACACAGAGCCUAGUCUAUUCAGCUUUGGCACCUUACACAGAUUCAGAUUGCCUGUUAUCACUUCCCAAUAAUACCUACACAAAAGAAAUAUCUCAGUAAUAAUUUUUUUUUGGUUUUUUGGUUUUCUGAUUCUCUAAUGUGUUUGGAUUUUCUGAUUUUCUAAUUUUUUGUUUGGUUUUUGUUUAUUUCUCCCCCUAAAUUUGUGCAUGGGUGAGAAUGAAAUACAAAUGUGCAAAUUUAAACUAACCUAAAAAAAAUUAAUCCUCAAAACGAAUCAUUUUCAAAAAAAAAAUUACCAGCACAGCGAAUCGAGCUUUGUUAAACGGAUUUGUGACCAAAUCUGCCUCAUUUUUAGUAGUGGGAACCUGUUCUAGACGAAUGAAUGAGCGCUCAUAACAAUCUCUGAUAAAAUGAACUUUGAUGUUGAUGUGCUUGGUCUUUAUCAGGAUUUUGAUGGAAAGCAUCAUGGUGCAAAGUUCUGGGAGGAUUGUUCGAGAUGAUGUUGUCUAGUGUUUCUCCUGAGGUGAGCUCUAGAUCAGCAAUUUCAUCGGUUGGAGCAAUAAAGGGUAAGUUGCUUUGUGUGACAACACAAAAUUUCCAUUCAGUCAAACCCUAAAAGUCAACCACUUCGUAUCAUAAGUUAAUGUCAUUAUUUCUUAUUUUUAAGAAAUAUAAUGUUCGUUUGAUUAUUUUAAUAUUAUUUUUAAACGAACGGGUGAAAGAAAGUGCCGUCUCAGGUUUUGAAUUUUAAAAACCGCAGCACCUCGCGUCUUAGAAAUUCUAACCAAACUUUUAUGUUUGGGUUGUAAAAUCACCCAAAAACCGUGAACUCAUACCUAUGUAUGAGUUUACUCCCCAAAAGUCUAGCCAUUUGUGUUUACUCCCCAAUUUCACAAAAGAGUAAACUCCAAAAAUUCUUUCAAGUAUCAUCCUAGAUUUUAUUCCAAAUCUUCAAAGUAGUAAGUGUUCUAACCAUUUCAAGUUAGUAAAGCACUUAAUCUAGUGUUUGUGCAUCUAUUCAUCCAUUCAUUUAUGUAUUUUGUCUAGAUUUCCGAAACACCAAGAACACACACUAAGUGUUCUUGGCCUUUUAGCUCAAAUCAAGCCUCCUAAUAGUAAGUACUUCCAUCCUUGGGUGUUAUUAAGCUAGUAUUACAUUUAAAAAUAAAGAAAUUAUGCCAAGAACACGAGGAUAGAGGUGUUCAUGGUCCAAGAAUGUUCUUGGGCCGUAAACACCAUACAUGGCACCAAAGUGUUCCUAAGUCCCUUGUUUAGCCCUAGUUUGAUGUUUAAGACUUACCUUGACAUGUUUAAACCUUCCAUUGAUGUGUUUAAGCCUUGAACAACACCAAAUACCCACAUUUAUAGGUGUUUACGGUUUGGGGAUCUCCCAAAACCGUAAACACCCUAAAGUAUGUUUAAAUGGGUCAUUUUCCUUACUUAGACCUAAAAAAAACUAACCUAGACAAUUACCUAGUUGUGUUAAGGACUUGAAAACAUGGAAAUACCCUUUUCCAUAAGGGUUUAAGGUAGUAAACCCAAAGGGAAAUGUCUAUGAGGCCGUAAAAUCCUCCAAGGAGUGUUUUUGUUGCCCUAGUCCCUUCCAAAGGCCAAACCAUUUAGUAGAAAUGCUUCAGAAGGCUUGUUAAGCCACAAAACAACACAUGGUCACUAGGAGUAGAGUUUACGACCGUAAACGCUAGAUUUUACUUCCAUAAACUCCCUAGGUUAUGACCAUCAAAACCGUAAAACUCCAAGGGAGUUUACCCUUGAACCCCAAACACCCUAGCUUUGCCCUACCAACACUUGGGUGCAAUCCUUAUGAUCUUUAACAUUUGAAUCAAAGUGUUUUCAUGUUCUAGAGUUCCGCAACUUAUUUUAUUAGUAUAAUUUGGCUAAUUAGUUAUAUAUAUGUUCAUUAUAUGAUAACUAGGCUCGUGCGUGUGUACAAUUAGUUAUAUAUAUAUAUAUAUAUAUAUAUGUUCAUUAUAUGAUACCACUCACCACAAGUGAGUUCAUACCCCUUAACUAACCCUUGAAAUACUUUAAAUGUUUUAAAUGCUUUAAUGGGGGGGGGGGGGAAAAAAAGUGNGUUGAAUACUUAUAGUUAUUACAUCAAUCACAUGUUAUUAAUAACUACAAAACCAAUGAUUUUAUUACUAUUCAAACUGUUUUACUUCAAACUGAUUUACAAAAUCUUUUUACUUAUCAAAUACUUUUACUUAAACUUUUAUAUACUUAUUAUAAACUGCAUGCCCGUAUAUGUAUAGUUAUAUAAGCAAUGUUUAAAAGGCUUAGGAAGGCCGUCCGCCCUAUUUCCAUUUCGUGCUUGAGAUGUGGUCUGGUGGGAUAUUGGGUAGCCGUCCGAGGGUCGUUUCAAUAUAAAUUAUAUAUCAUGUGUACAUAUAUAGUCAUAAAAGUUCUUCCAUAUUCAUUCAUACUAGUUACAUCAUUAGUAAGUUACCAUCGGGGUAGCACAGGAUCAUACUUAUACUAUUGCUAGAUCAAAGAGUCAGUUCAUUCAUGAGUCAAUACUUAUUACUAUGAGAACAUAUACAUUACACUACGAUGAGAACAUAUACAUUACAUUACUAUGAGAACAUACACAACUAUACUAUAAGGAGAACAUAUACAACUAUACUAGAAGAAGAACAUAUACAACUAUACUAGAGGAAGAACGUAUACAACUAUACUAGAGGAAGAACAUAUAGAACUAUACUAGAAAGAGAACAUAUACAACGACACUAGAACGAGUAACAAUACAUUACAUAUACAUGAAUACGUUGACAAAAUUGUGAUCCACUGUAUCGGAGCAUGCCUUAAAUGUCAUGGCCUGAGUUGUAGCCGGAGUCUCUUGGAGGGAGAGCGUGAGUUUGCGUAUAGAUAUAUACUGGAUUGACUAUCUUAAACCUUGCUGCUAGCUACAGCCGGACCUACAGGUCUGCGGGUGCCAAACGUCAUACCUUUUUACGACUUACAUUUGUCGUUGUUACCUAGUCGAUAGUAUGGUACAUUUAAUCACAUGAUACCUUAAUAUAAAUCCAAUUUAAGGUAGUUAGUACAACAGUAGUUCCUAUAAUACAACACUACAAUACUACAAUAAUUUACCCAUUACAUACAUUUAGUGAUCAUUUCAGUUAAACAUUAAUGUACAAAAAAUAUUUUGUUAAUGAUACUUACACUUGGGAAAAUUACACACUUUCACGAUAAACGAGCAUACAAAACAGUUAUUCCUUGGUAGAAGGCUACUUUUAAUAGAAAAUAUUGGUUUUUCUGAGAGAUUCAAACUGUUACAAACACUUAGAAACAUUCACAUACUUUUAUUACCAAUGUUUACAAACUCAUGUUUAAAACCACGUUCAAACGUUUUGAUACAAACACCGACACUAAAAUACUUAUGAACUCACCAGCUUAAUGCUGAUAAACUCUUUCAAAAUAACUUGUAUUCUUAGGUCGAUAGUAAACAGGUACCGAGGCCAGCUUUUGAGAAGAUGGAGCGCAUCCAAGACUCAUCUUAUUAUUUUGAUUUACUUUUUGGUAUCUAUAAUUGUACAGAACAGACUAGUAUUAAAAUUAUAUAUUUAAUGCAAUGGAUGAUUUGUUUGCUUGUUUACUGUUAUACUGUGUUGUGAUACUUUACAUGACGUCCUCUUCCCCAGAACGUUUCCGCAGUUCUUGGUUUUGGGGUGUGACACUUUGGAUGGCCUAGUUCAUCAUUAAGUUAAGGGUUGCUUCAACCUGUGAUCUGUGAGCUUUGGAUUCCUGACAUGAGCCCCGCUAUCAUAGUAUGACCAAAGAGGAUCGUUAGCACCUAGUUAUCCUUUACCCUUACCGGGUAUCAGACUAGUUGUGGCAUCCAAAGUAGGAGGGACAACUCCUGCUUCAGAAUGCUUGGAGUCCGAGACGGGGAUCUCGGAUUGUGCUUGUGAAGAAAGAAUGAGGCUUUCCAAAUUGACUCGUGGAUUUCUUCCAUGGGGGUACAAGGAACUAUGAUCAACACCAACAACACCUUGUUGAAAAGGUGAGGGUGGAUUAUAUGGAGACUCGCCGUGAGUGUGUGAUUAUGGUAUUGAAACCUCAAAGGGCACUUUAGAAGAGUGGGUAGGUGGGGUAAGAGGAUGGCCUGAGUUAGCAUGAAUGUCUUUGGUUCCAUCCUGUUGAGAGGUGUAAUCGAAUUUGGUUUUCUUUUAGUCUUUUGGCUUUGAGGGAGAGGAUUUUCUCUUGGUAGAUUUCUUUUUCUUACCUCCUGAUGGAACAGCCUUGGCCACAUCCGAGAUAGGCUCAACGGAGACAGUGGUAGAUUGUGUAGGGCUAUACACAAUCAAAGUCUCGAAGUGUUGUUUCACAUGAAUGGAUUGAGAAGGUAGGAUGGCUAGCAUAUGUUCAGGUAAUCUCCUAAUAGGUUCGAAAGAUAUUUGGUCCGGAAGGGGGUAAGACUUGAUAGUUUUAAAAGAAAGGAAUACCUCUUUUAGAAUCGUGUCGACAGGUGAUGGUUCAUGCCUUUCUCUGUACAAUUGUUGGAUGGCCAGAGCCUAAAAUCUUGGACUCGAUAUCUCGUUAGGCUUGUGAUUGAUGGCAAUCUUUCGAAAGUCUUUCCACACUACUUCCAUUAGAUCUAUAACAUUUGUGCUAUCCUGAGAAGAUAUUGUACACGACAUAAAGCCAAUCCUUGUUGAGUGUGUCUAUGCCUCCAUCUUUCCCUAAGAGACCAUUAAGAAUGAAAUGUUUGAGGAUUUUCCAAAGGCCUGAAACAAAAUAUUUCUUGAACUUCUUUCCCUUAAACUCUUUUGCAUAUCCAAUGUGAUUAAGAAAUAACUAAAAUUCUUUAGCAGAUCGUUCUUUAGCAUUGAAGCUUUUAGGGUUUUCCGGAAGUCCAAUCUCUUUCAAAAAAGUUGUGACAACCCGAAAUUUCCAUUUUGUACGAACAUUAUCAAUUCAAUAGAAGCUAGACCAGUUACAAUGAAUUUCAGACUUUUCCGAGUAAGUUUGAGUAUUUCAGGGUUUACAUUUAAGGAGAUAUCAGGAGAGUGGAUGCACUAGCGUUUUGUGCAACACUGUUAUUCCAACACUCUGCCAAAAAUAUCUCAGGACUAUAAAUAGAACUUUGAACCAAAUUCAUUCAUUGUUCACAUUUCCAAUUAGAGAAAAUCCAUUUUCUCUCUCACGGAUCUUCGGGUUUUCGUCCCAAAUCAUGAGUACACUUCUCUAGUUGUUUUAUAAUUCUUAUUAUGUUCUUAAUAACAUAGAUUACAUAACAAAUCUGUGAGAUUCGGGAGUUUACCGCCCAUGAACGUUCUUGGAGAGUAAACUCCAAAAUGAGGCUUAAAUGCUACCUAGUCCCAUUUCCUUGUUAGGUAACUAGCUUAGGCUUGUAUGUAUGUAUAUUUGAGACUAGAAAACAAUCAAAAACACGAAGCUUUGGGUGUUCACAGCCCAAGAACUUCUUGGACCGUGAACUCCAAAUUCAAGGGCCAAAAGGUGCCCUAAUUACUCCUAAAACCUUGGACAUUAACCCCCAUUUAAUCCUAGCUAAUUUGUGGACUUUAAAAAAUAAAGAAACCUUAAAAAGGGAGUUUACGGCCCUAUUAUUGUGCUUGGGCCGUGAACAUAAAUCAAGGGCACAAAACUGUGCCAAGGACCUUCAUUAGCUUAAAACAAUUACCUAGAACAUAUCCUAUGUGAGUAAGAGACUUGAUAGCACAAAAAUACCCAUCUCAUGAGAGUUUACGGUUGUAAACUCCAAAAGAAAUGGUCUUUCGGCCGAAAAAUCCUAAAAGGAGUGUAUUAAUGCCCUAAACUACCCAAAGGAUUAAACCACCAAGUAAGACUUAUUCUAGAAAUCAAAUAACACUUCAAAACACCAAGUACCACGAAGUUGGGAGUUCACGGCCGUAAAAUGAAGGGUUUACGACCGUAAACUCCUUGUGUGGAGUUUAUUGAGUGGUAAACACAUAUGUAAGGCCCUUUGUAACUUUAAACCCCUUUAGCCUUGUCCCACAACAACUUAGAUACAACCAUUAGGACUUAUAACACUUAUACAAAGUGUUUACAUGUUCUAGAGUGUCCCAACUAAAUUUAUUAGUUAUUGUUUGGCUAAUUAGUUAUAUGUAUGCUCAUUAUAUGAUAAGUAUGCUCGUGCGUGUGAACAAGUCUCCGUUUGCCACCUAGCACAGUAUCCGACAUUUCAAUCCAAUCAACUCACCGCAAGUGAGUUCAUACCCCUUUAAUUAACCUUUGAAAUACUUUUAAAUGUUUUAAAUGCUUUUAUGGGGGGGGGGNGGGGGAAUACAAGUUGAAUAUUUAUAGUUAUUACAUCAAUCACAUGUGAUUAAUAACUAUAAAACCAAUGAUUUUAAUACUGUUCACACUGUUUAUCAAACUAUUUUAAUUCAAACUGUUUUACAGACUCUUUUACGUAUCCAUUACUUUUACUUAAACUUUGUUACACUUAUUAUAAAUUGCAUGCCCGUAUAUGUAUAGUUAUAUAAGUAAUGUUUAAAAGACUUAGGAAGGUUAUCCACCUUGUUUCCUUUUCCUCGAUUUGGAUGUGGUCUGAUAGGAUAUCGGGUACUCGUCCGAAGGUCAUUUAAAUAUUGAUUAUAUAUCAUGUGUACAUAUAUAGACAUAAAACUGCUUCCAUAUUCAUGCGUACUAGUUACAUCAUUAAUAGGCUACCAUCGGGGUAGCACAGAAUCAUACUUAUACUAUUGCUAGAUCAAUGAGUCAGUUCAUUCAUGAGUCAAUACUUAUUACUAUGAGAACAUAUACAUUACAUUACUAUGAGAACAUAUACAACUAUACUAGAAAGAGAACAUAUACAACUAUACUAGGAAGAGAACAUAUACAACGAUACUAGAACAAGUAACAUUACAUUACAUAUACAUGAAUACGUUAACAAUUGUGAUCCACUGUAUCGGAGCAUGCCUUAAAUGUCAUGGCCCGAGUUGUAGCCAGAAUUCUCUUGGAGGGAGAGCGUGAGUUUGCGUAUAGAUCUAUACUGGAUUGACUAUCCUACACCUUGCUGCUAGCUACAGCCGGACCUGCAGGUCUGCGGGUGCCAAACGUCAUUCCGUUAUUACGACCAUUCGUAUGUCGUUGUUACCAGUCGAUAGUAUGGUGCAAUUAAUCACAUGAUACCUUAAUAUAAAUCCGGUUUAAGGUAGUUAGUACAGCAGUAGUUCCUAUAAUACAACACUACAGUACUACAAUAAUUUACCCAUUACAUAUAUUUAGUGAUUAUUUCACUUAAACAUUAAUGUACAAACUAUAUUUUGUUAAAUGAUAGUUACACUUGGGAAAUUACACACUUUUACAACAAACGAGCAUACAAAACAGUUAAGCCUUGGUAGAAGGCUACUUUAAUAGAAAAUAUAGGUUUUUCUGAGAGAUUCAAACUUUUACAAACACUUUCAAACAUUUACUUACAUUUUUACAAACUUAUACAUUGAGACAGGUUCAAACGUUUUGACAACAAACAUUGACACUAAAAUACUUAUGAACUCACCAGCUUAAUGCUGAUAAACUCUUUCAAAAUAACUUGUAUUCUCAGGUCAUCAGUAGACAGGUACCGAGGCCAGCUUUUGAGAAGAUGGAGCGCAUCCAAGACUCAUCUUAUUAUUUUGAUUUACAUUAUUUUUGGUGUCUAUAACUGUACAGAACACGCUUGUAUUAAAAUUAUAUAUUUAAUGCAAUGGAUGAUGUUGUAUGCUUGUUUACUUUUACUGUGUUGUGAUACUUUACAUGACGUCCUCCGCCCCAGAACGUUUCCGCCGUUCUUGGUUUUGGGGUGUGACAGAUUGGUAUCAGAGCAUUGUUUAUAGUGAAUUGAGUAUAUCAACCCAUAAAAGAUAUACUAAACUAUAAACCCAUUUGGGAUUAAAACACUCUGACCAAGAGUCUAUACUUUAAAUAUUAAAAUAUUUAAUUAAGUAUACUAGUCUGCAUUCAUACUAAAAUCAGUGUCACAAUGACAAGAACAAAAGUAUUACGAUUGUUAAAUAUCACAAGUGAGCUCGGGGAUGUAUGGUCAGUCCUGGGAAUGGCAUAGCCUGAUCAACUAUGCUGGUCCGAGGAGUGAUUAGCAUAUGCCCUAGAAUGGUUGUGAUAUGUUAACAAGUCUAAAAGCUUACCAACAAUACCACAAGAAGAUCAGUAGAACCUAAACUUGAAAUACUAUAGAUGUAUUUUGUACUACUACUAGCUACAUAUAUACUAUAUUCUUAUACCUCUCUUCUCGCAUAGAUUUAAAUGGUUGGAAUCCAUCACGACGAUCCGUAUUUUCCAAAUGAAGGCAAUGCCGAGUGGAUCGAAAAAGAGCCCGAAGAUGAGCAACCAAUCCCUUUGGAUGAUCACCUCGCAGAAGGCUUUUCUGAUGGAUCCGACUCCGAGCCUGAGGUCAACAACCUACCGCUAGUAGGUCAAGCCCCGCACAACAACCCCCGAACAGCUUUUCCAGGUCCUACACCCUUGUGGGCAACCAAAUUGAAUCGCUGGAGUGAUGAACAGGGUCAACCUUUACCUUAAUUUGGGGACCGAAGCUUUUACAACGUCAGUGAAGGUGGUUCUGCUGACUGACCUCUGUCCGUCAUUAUCCGCAGAAUAGCUCGUAAUGUUCAGCAAGGUCGAGCAGCCAUCGACUGGGUCAUGGAGAUUGAUGCCAACCCUGGUGUCAACACAGUCCGCAUCCGCCGUCUUGAAGAAGACAUGGAACGAACCCGGAGAACCAAUGAAACCCUGCAGCAACAGCUAGCUGCCUCCCGAGCUGAAGUCUUGGAAUUUCGAGCCCAUCAGAGGGCUCAGGAGCGACACCUUCAGGAGGCAUUUCGUCAAGUUGCAGACCUCAGGGUUCGCCCGAGGAUUUCCCAUUGUCGUUAGAAGAUGUCUAGUACAUCUUUGUCUUUUGGUUAAUGAAUAGCCUUUAACAUCUGUGCUCUAACUAGCACUUUUCUGUAAAGUAUUCCUAACAUUCAAUACUCUAAUUAGGAAUCUAAGGACUGUCAAACUUUUCCGUAUGGUAUGAUGUAAGACUUACUGUUAGGUCGAUUUUCCCCGAACAUAUUACAUCGGUAAUACCAGUAUUUUUGACAUCUACCUAAUAUGUGGGAAAAAUAUGUACACUUGUGUUUUCCUACUAAUAUUCUUUGUUGUGAUCUCAAACACUCAUUCAACUGUUGGACUGUGGUUAGUUAGUCCAUGUGUCACUCUCACCUUACUUACAAAUUGAUUCUUACCACUUUGCUUAUCUUUAUAAACUUAUAGUUGAAAGAUGCCUCCUCGCAAAUCUACCCGGAAUAACCCUGCACCUCCACCGCCCCCCCCGCCUCCGGUCAUUGACACCGCAGCCUUGAAUUCUGCCGUAGCUACGGCAGUGGCAAACGCCAUGGCUCAGUAUCACUUUUCUGAUGCCAGCAGAGGUGGAACCCCUGUUAAAUCAAUUCUGGUUGAAACCCCUGUGCGCUCGAGAGAGUGCUCCUACAAGGAUUUCACCAACUGCAAGCCGAAGUCCUUCCAUGGCAUCGGCGGAGUCAUUGCCCUCUCACAAUGGUUCGAGAAGACUGAAUCAGUCUUUGAAAUCUGUUCAUGCCCUGCUGCGAGCAAAGUCAAAUAUGCCGCAUGCACCUUUGAAGGAAAGGCCCUGGCGUGGUGGAACGGCCACGUUAAAGUGCUGACUCUCGUAGUAGCGAAUGAUAUGUGUUGGGAAACCAUGAAGGACCUCAUGAUUGAGGAAUACUGCCCAAGGGGCGAAAUCCAGAAAUUGGAGCAGGAGCUUUGGAGCUUGACCAUGAAGGGCACCAACGUGGUCGCUUAUACCGCCAGAUUCAGCGAACUGGUGGCCCUCUGCCCCAAUAUGGUUCCCACUGAAGGGAAAAACAUCGAAAGGUACAUAUGGGGGCUAGUGCCUCCGUAUCAGGGGAAUGUCCUAUCAUCAAACCCUGCUACCUUCGACAGUGCCAAACGACUGGCACUGCGACUCAUUGACCAUGGAGUCAAAUCCCCAGCAACAACAACAACAACCACCCUAGCCAUCCCGUAACCCUCCAAACGCGCUGACACUAAUCGGAAGUUCUGGGAAGACAAGAAGAAACAGUGAGCUGCCAAAAAGCAGCAAGUGGUGGCUGUGCAUGCUGCGAUAACCCCUGAUGCUGCUACUGCUCCGGUGAGGCAGUAUGCUGGAAGUUUGCCUAAGUGCAACAAAUGCAACAUCCACCACAACGGCCCCUGCCGUGAAAUACAGUUCUCUAACUGCAACAGGAAAGGACACACAGUCUGUUUCUGUAAAUCUCCGGCACAACCGAUUGCCCAAGUCCCCGGCUCUGGCGCGAGCCCGACCUGUUAUGGAUGUGGUGAAGCAGGCCACUACAAGAGGGACUGCCCCAAAGCGAAGAAUGCUGGCGGAGCAAGGAGGGUACUAGGAAUAGGCCAUGGGGAUGCAGUUGCUGACCCAACGGUGGUGACUGGUACGUUCCUCCUCAAUGACUCCUAUGCAUGCAUUCUGUUUGAUAGUGGAGCGGAGCGAAGCUUCGUGAAUCAUAAAUUUGCUCGCAUGCUUAAGCAACAACCACACACACUUAAGGAACAAUUCACGGUAGAAAUGGCAAAUGGAAAAAUAGAAAGUACGAAUAGCAUAUACUUAGGCUGUACCCUAACUCUAGCAAACCAUUCAUUCCUAAUCGACCUUAUGCCGGUCUCAAUCAAANNNNNNNNNNNNNNNNNNNNNNNNNNNNNNNNNNNNNNNNNNNNNNNNNNNNNNNNNNNNNNNNNNNNNNNNNNNNNNNNNNNNNNNNNNNNNNNNNNNNNNNNNNNNNNNNNNNNNNNNNNNNNNNNNNNNNNNNNNNNNNNNNNNNNNNNNNNNNNNNNNNNNNNNNNNNNNNNNNNNNNNNNNNNNNNNNNNNNNNNNNNNNNNNNNNNNNNNNNNNNNNNNNNNNNNNNNNNNNNNNNNNNNNNNNNNNNNNNNNNNNNNNNNNNNNNNNNNNNNNNNNNNNNNNNNNNNNNNNNNNNNNNNNNNNNNNNNNNNNNNNNNNNNNNNNNNNNNNNNNNNNNNNNNNNNNNNNNNNNNNNNNNNNNNNNNNNNNNNNNNNNNNNNNNNNNNNNNNNNNNNNNNNNNNNNNNNNNNNNNNNNNNNNNNNNNNNNNNNNNNNNNNNNNNNNNNNNNNNNNNNNNNNNNNNNNNNNNNNNNNNNNNNNNNNNNNNNNNNNNNNNNNNNNNNNNNNNNNNNNNNNNNNNNNNNNNNNNNNNNNNNNNNNNNNNNNNNNNNNNNNNNNNNNNNNNNNNNNNNNNNNNNNNNNNNNNNNNNNNNNNNNNNNNNNNNNNNNNNNNNNNNNNNNNNNNNNNNNNNNNNNNNNNNNNNNNNNNNUGAAGACAGUCUUCCGAACUCGUUACGGACACUACGAGUUCGUAGUGAUGCCAUUCGGAUUGACCAAUGCGCCUACAGUCGUCAUAGAUCUGAUGAAUAGAGUAUGCCGACCUUACUUGGAUCAGUUCGUCAUUGUAUUCAUUGAUGACAUCCUGAUCUACUCCCGAAGUAGGGAAGAGCAUGGCGAUCACCUGCGACAAGUUCUAGGAACUUUACGAACGGAGAAACUCUAUGCGAAGUUCUUGAAAUGUGAAUUUUGGAUCCGAAGAGUCGAAUUCUUAGGACACAUGGUAAGAAAAGAGGGAAUCCACGUGGACCCAUCCAAAAUUAAAGCCAUUGAGAACUGGUCGGCACCAAUGACGCCUACAAAAAUUCGUCAAUUUCUAGGCCUUGCUGGCUACUACCGCAGAUUCAUACAGAGCUUCUCCCGGAUAGCGAAACCUCUUACAACCCUGACCAAGAAAGGCGUAGCCUUUGACUGGGAAGAGAAACCGGAACGAGCGUUCCAAACGCUCAAGCGAGCCUUGUGCAUCGUACCAAUACUAUCCCUUCCCGAAGGGAUAGAAUACUUCGUAGUCUAUUGCGAUGCAUCGAAUCAAGGGCUUGGAUGUGUUUUGAUGCAGCGAGGUAAGGUCAUCGCCUACGCCUCGAGUCACCUGAAAACGCACGAAGUUAACUACACGACCCACGAUCUUGAACUAGGAGCAAUGGUGUUUGCUUUGAAGAUCUGGAGACAUUACUUGUACGGAACGAAAAGCACUAUUUUUACCGACCACAAGAGUUUACAACACAUAUUCAAUAAGAAGGAGCUCAACAUGAGAUAACGACGGUGGGUCGAGCUACUCAGUGACUACGAAUGCGAUAUUCGUUAUCAUCUGGGUAAAGCCAACGUAGUAGCAGAAGCCCUAAGUCGGAAGGAAUAUUCUGGUCACAGGGUAAAGUCAUUGUAAAUAACCAUCCAUUCACACUUGUCUAAUCAAAUUCAGGCGGCCCAACUUGAAGCCUUGAAACCUGAAAAUGUGACGAGUGAAGCCCUUAGAGGAAUGGAUAAAAACCUAGAAGCCAAGGGUGGCAGAGCCUUAUAUUUCAUGAUCCAGAUCUGGACACCGAAACGCGGUCGCUUUCGAGACUUGGUCAUGACCGAGGCGCACAACACUUGGUAUUCCGUCCACCCAGGUUCAGAUAAGAUGUAUCUGGAUCUUAAAAAGCUAUACUGGUGGCCUAAUAUGAAAGCAGAGAUUGCUACCUUCGUAAGUAAAUGCCUUACUUGCGCAAAGGUUAAGGUCGAGUACCAGAAGCCCUCUGGUUUACUGCAACAACCAGAGAUCCCGGAAUGGAAGUGGGAGCGGAUCACUAUGGAUUUCAUAACCAAGUUGCCCAAGACAACGGGUGGACUUGACACCAUAUGGGUCAUCGUCGAUAGAUUGACCAAGUCUGCACACUUCCUGCCUAUCAAAGAAACUGACAAGAUGGAGAAACUUACGAGAACAUUCAUUAGGGAGAUCGUACGACUACAUGGUGUACCUAUAUCCAUUAUCUCCGAUAGAGGUAGUAGAUUCACCUCAAGAUUCUGGCAAUCGCUACAACAGUCCCUGGGAAGAAGGCUGGACAUGAGCACAGCCUACCAUCCACAGACCGACGGACAGAGUGAGAGGACCAUCCAAACACUGGAAGAUAUGCUGAGAGCCUGUGAGAUUGACUUUGGAAAGUCAUGGGAUACUCACUUACCCCUUGUCGAGUUUUCUUAUAAUAACAGUUAUAACACGAGCAUCAAGGCUGCUCCAUUUGAAGCCCUCUACGGCCGAAAGUGCAGAUCCCCUCUGUGCUGGGCUGAGGUGGGUGAUACCCAAUUAGCCAGGGGGCAAGCUUCCGACAGUACUCUCACCGGUCCGGAGAUCAUUCGGGAAACGACAGAGAAAAUCGUUCAGAUUCGUGAACGAUUGAAAGCCUCUAGAGACCGACAGAAGAGCUACACUGAUAGGCGAAGAAAACCUUUGGAAUUUCAGGUGGGAGACCGAGUCCUUCUCAAAGUCUCACCCUGGAAAGGCUUGAUAUGCUUCGGUAAGCGUGGGAAGCUUAAUCCGAGGUACAUAGGGCCUUUCGAGAUUCUCGCAAGAAUCGGCCCCGUAGCUUACAAACUCAACCUGCCUGACGAACUUCGUAACGUACAUUCUGCAUUCCACGUGUCUAACUUGAAAAAGUGUCUGUCCGACGAGACUCUUGUAAUCCCACUCGACGAGAUCGAGAUCAACGAGAGCCUCAACUUCGUGGAAGAACCUGUAGAGAUCAUGGACCGUGAGGUCAAGCAGACGAAGCAAAGCCGUAUCCCAAUCAUGAAGGUUCGCUGGAACGCCAAGCGCGGGCCGGAAUUCACUUGGGAGCGUGAGGAUCAGAUGAAACUGAAAUAUCCUCGUCUUUUUACUUAGUUGAUUGUAACUACUUAUUUGCUUAAAUUCUAACUUCGCGACGAAAUUCCUUCUAAGGAGGGGAUGAUGUGACAACCCAAAAUUUCCAUUUUGUACGAACAUUAUCAAUUCAAUAGAAGCUAGACCAGCUACAAUGAAUUUCAGACUUUUCCGAGUAAGUUUGAGUACUUCAGGGUUUACAUUUAAGGAGAUAUCAAGAGAGUGGAUGCACUAGGGUUUUGUGCAACACUGUUAUUCCAACACUCUAUUAUAUUAGAGAUCAUUUCAGGAAUAAAAAUAUUUUCUGCCAAAAAUAUCUCAGGACUAUAAAUAGAAUUUUGAACCAAAUUCAUUCAAUAUUCACAUUUCCAACUAGAGAAAAGCCAUNAAAGCCAUUUUCUCCCUCACGGAUCUUUGGGUUUUCGUCCCAAAUCGUGAGUACACUUCUCUAGUUGUUUUAUAAUGCUUAUUAUGUGCUUAAUAACAUAGAUUAAAUAACAAAUCUGUGAGAUUCGGGAGUUUACCGCCCAAAAACGUUCUUGGAGAGUAAACUCCAAAAUGAGGCUUAAAUGCUACCUAGUCCCAUUUCCUUAUUAGGUAACUAGCUUAGGCUUCUAUGUAUGUAUAUUUGAGACUAGAAAACAAUCAAAAACACCAAGCUUUGGGUGUUCACGGCCCAAGAACUUCUUGGACCGUGAACUCCAAAUUCAAGGGCCAUAAGGUGCCCUAAUUACUCCUAAAGCCUUUGACAUUAACCCCCAUUUAAUCCUAGCUAAUUUGUGGACUUUAAAACAUCAAAGACACCUUAAAAAGGGAAUUUACGGCCCUAUUAUUGUGAUUGGGCUGUGAACAUAAAUCAAGGGAACAAAAGUGUGCCUAGGACCUUCAUUAGCUUAAAACAAUUACCUAGAACAUAUCCUAUGUGAGUAAGAGACUUGAAAGCACAAAAAUACCCAUCUCAUGAGAGUUUACGGUUGUAAACUCCACAAUAAAUGGUCUUUGGGCCGAAAACUCCUAAAAGGAGUGUAUUAAUGCCCUAAACUACCCAAAGGAUUAAACCACCAAGUAAGACUUAUUCUUGAAAUCAAAUAACACUUCAAAACACCAAGUACCACCAAGUUGGGAGUUCACGGCCNACCUCAAAACACCCUGUGGCACUUAGUACCAUGAGUUUACAGCCGUAAACUCAUGGGGGAAAUGACCUUAGGCCGUAAGCUCCAUAAGGAGUGGUCCUUGGGCCAUAAAAUCCAAUGUCAUGCCAUGCAACCUUUAGAUGCAACCCUAUGGUACCUAUAGCACUUGAAUCAAAGUGUUUCCAUGUCCUAGGGUGUCUUAACUAUGUUAAUUAGUUAUUAAAGGACUAAUUGGACACAUAUAUGUUUUAUUAUAUGUUAACUAGGGUCAUUGUGUGUGUUCAAGUCUUCACUUUCCUUGUCCAACACUUCCGUACAAUCUACUCACUACAGGUGAGUUCAUAACCCUUAAUUAACCUUUUAAUUGUUUUUAAAUGUUUUAAUUUUUUUUUGGGGGGGGGGGGGGGGAAUACAAGUUGAAUAUUUAUAGUUAUUACAUCAAUAAAAUGUGAUUAAUAACUAUAAAACCAAUGAUUUUAAUACUGUUCACACUGUUUAUCAAACUAUUUACUUCAAACUUUUUUACAUACUCUUUUACGUAUCCAAUACUUUUACUUAAACUUUGUUACACUUAUUAUAAAUUGCAUGCCCGUAUGUGUAUAGUUAUAUAAGUAAUGUUUAAAAGACUUAGGAAGGCUAUCCACCUUGUUUCCUUUUCCUCGAUUUGGAUGUGGUCUGAUAGGAUAUCGGGUACUCGUCCGAAGGUCGUUUAAAUAUUGAUUAUAUAUCAUGUGUACAUAUAUAGACAUAAAACUGCUUCCAUAUUCAUGCGUACUAGUUACAUCAUUAAUAGGCUACCAUCGGGGUAGCACAGAAUCAUACUUAUACUAUUGCUAGAUCAAUGAGUCAGUUCAUUCAUGAGUCAAUACUUAUUACUAUGAGAACAUAUACAUUACAUUACUAUGAGAACAUAUACAACUAUACUAGAUAGAGAACAUAUACAACUAUACUAGAGAAAGAACAUAUACAACUAUACUAGAAAGAGAACAUAUACAACUAUACUAGACAGAGAACAUAUAGAACUAUACUAGACAGAGAACAUAUACAACUAUACUAGAGAAAGAACAUGUACAACUAUACUAGAGAACGAACAUAUACAACUAUACUAGAACAGUUCAUUACAUUACAUAUACAAGAAUACGUUAAUUAUUGUGAUAUGAAUUGGAGCAUGACUUAAAUGUCAUGGCCCCAGUUGUAGCCAAAGUCUCUUGAAGGGAGAGCAUGAGUUUGCGUAUAGAUCUAUACUGGAUUGACUAUCCUACACGUUGCUGCUAGCUACAGCCGGACCUGCAGGUCUGCGGGUGCCAAACGUCAUUCCGUUUUACGACCAUUCAUUUGUCGUUGUUUAUCCAGUCGAUAGUAUGGUACAAUUAAUCACAUGAUACCUUAAUAUAAAUCUGGUUUAAGGUAGUUGGUACAGCAGUAGUUCCUAUAAUACAACACUACAGUACUACAAUAAUUUACCCAUUACAUAUAUUAAUUGAUUAUGUCACUUAAACAUUAAUGUACAAACUAUAUCGUGUUAAUGAUAGUUACACUUGGGAAAUUACACACUUUUACAACAAACGAACAUACAAAACAGUUAAGCCUUGGUAGAAGGCUACUUAAAUAGAAAAUAUAGGUUUUUCUGAGAGAUUCAAACUUUUACAAACACUUACAAACAUUUACAUACAUUUUACAAACUUACACUUGAGACAUGUUCAAACGAUUUGGUAACAAACACCGACACUAAAAUACUUAUGAACUCACCAGCUUAAUGCUGAUAAACUCUUUCAAAAUAACUUGUAUUCUUAGGUCGACAGUAGACAGGUACCGAGGCCAUCUUUUGAGAAGAUGGAGCGCGUCUAAGACUCAUGUUAUUAUUUUGAUUUACAUUAUUUUUGGUGUCUAUAACUGUUCAGAACACGCUUGUAUUAAAAUUAUAUAUUUAAUGCAAUGGAUGACAUUGUAUGCUUGAUUACUUUUACUAUGUUGUGAUCCUUUACAUGACGUCCUCCGCCCCAUAACGUUUCCGCCGUUCUUGGUUUUGGGGUGUGACAAAAGUGUACUUGUGAACAGGCACAAUGUCAUCUCCUAUUAUCCUUGUCUAAACAACAUCAUUCUCUAUCUUGAUUCGAUCAAAAGCAAUGAGAAGAAGACGAAGGGGAAUUAGUGGAUCUGGAAUCUUGGUGAGUGGAACAUAGAUGGGGUGAUAAGCGAUGAACUCGAUCCUGAUCCGGAUGGACUUGUUGUAGUCCAUGGGGUCUAGAGAGAAGAGUUGAGUCGUAUCCCUAAGGAAAGGUUCAGUUGACGAAGACGAUGCCAAACCUUUGGAUGGCUUCUUUUUAGGAGUAGAUUUGGUAACUUUGGGAGCAGAUUGAGAGGAAGCCAUUGUUGGAGGUUGAAAGGUUGAAGAAAUCAGUUACGGAGAGAAAAGAGGGUAAACUUUUGUGAGCGUAAAGGAUAAAAGGGUUUCAAAGGGGGUUUUUAUAGGUUAAGGAGAUGGGUCGGGUUAAAUGGUGUGAUGAUGAAAACCAAAUAAGGAAAUUAACCGCAUUUAAUGUGUUGCGCUUCCUCGGAGGCAUGGUUUUCCUACGCGGAAAAGAACACGAGCUGAUGAGAGAAGAUGGUUAACCCCGGACAUAUCUACCCUUACUAUGUUAGGCCUAAAUUUUUCCCGUGCUUCGGGUAUUGUUUGUCUGAGUGUCGACCUACAUCCCGAUGAUGUAGUCCUGGUAUGCAAGGUACGAGUAUGAGUAUCGGAAAAACCAUAAGAUGUGAGUCGUUCCUACUAAGUUACCUUUAUACUUGGAAAGGUUUCACUCUCCGGCCUAGAAAGAUUUGAGAACAGUUCGGAACGAAGACCGCGGGAAGAAAAGGCUCAUGAAGACUUAUGGAUAAACACUCUCAAUAGAGGUGUUGGGAUCUGCUCUAAACGUGUUACUGGCAAUGGGAAAAGUCGAUUUACCUAACACAUAGCGUGAGUAGUGUAACCACUAACUCACUAAAUUGUAUUAUAUUAUGGGUGUAUUAGCGUGACGAACACGAGGUAAAGACACUUCCCGGGUUCCAUGUACUGGCUCCCUCUGUCUACCUCGUAUCGUUGACUGGGACCGAUGUUGGUUUCCUUCGGGUAGUUAACUAGGGUUCUUUUCUCGUGAGGACAUAUUGAAUCUCUCCUCUGCCUUACUUCCGAAUCCGACUCGGGGUGUCAUCACUUCAUGAUAGAUGACUAGAAAUCUCGGAAGUUUAGGCGACUUUCCCACCGAUGUCCCUAAAAAGAUAUAGGCACUUGGUCAUCUCAAUAGUCUAGACCCAGUUCAUUUAUUUCUGACUGGAAAUCUUCUCAAUGAACCUCUUCGGGGUCUUAAUUCAACUCUUCUGCCGAAUACUGAAGUGGAUACGGUUUUCUACAGGGUUCGUGCGAGAAAGGAAAUGUCUAAAGAAUCCUAAGAGAUUAUUAACAUUUCACCAUGUGACCCAUAUCGAGUCCUGUUACGAUUACACAGGGUAUACAAAUCAUAUAUAGCUUAGAUCCGAUAGGCCUUCGAAUAUGUGAUACUACUCGAUAUCCACAUCCAAACAAGGAAAAGGAAGUAGAGGGAAACCACACAUUCUUAGCCUAUGGGAUCCUUGUUAUAUAUAACCUUGGGAGUAUACCCUCUGUAAUUGUAGGUAUAUCAAUAAGGAUUUGUUUAGUUCUUCACACAAGGUUGUCUAUGAAUCCUAAAAUACCCCUAUGGUACUUUAAUUCUUGUUUGUUUCUUAUCUUCUGAUUAUGAUUCUGGGAUUAAUGUGAGUCUUUUAGUAUUCCAAAAUAAUCCCAUAGUAUUUUAAACUUUAUGUUUGGCUCUAGCAUUCCUAGUUGGUAAGUUUCAGACUCGUUGCAACACCACUAUCACUCCCAAGCACACGUUCAUCACAUCUCGAAAAAAUGUAGUUGAUCAGGUUACAUUUAUUCCACCCUACAAUUACAUAACUGCCCAGGUUUGACGGUAAAGCUCAACAUCCGAAGACUUUUAUUCUUGUUCUUCUUAUGAUACUUGUGUUCGAGUGUUUAGAUUCUGGAUGUUCUUAUACUUUGGUAAAAUAUGGUUAUAUUUUAAAGUAUAAUUCUUGGUCAGAGUGUUUUAACCCUAAUUAUUUAUAUGUUGUAUAUCUUUUAUGAAUUGAUAUACUUAGCUCACUAUAAACAAUGCUCUGAUACCAAUCUGUCACACCCCAAAACCGGAAUGGCAGAAACGUUCUGGGGUGGAUGACGUCAUGUCAAGUAUCACAAGAUAUGUAGUAUAGUAAUUAAAGUACAACAACAAUUGCAUUAAUAGUAAUAGUUUUACAUGGUUUACAUUACAUAGAAAACAUCAAGUAAUACAAGUAAUAAUAUAGGUGCGGCUUGGUACUAAACUGUCUUCACCAAAAGCGCCUGAGAUGUACCUGUCUAUUGCUAACCUGAGAAUACAAGUUAUUUGAAAAGCGAGUAUCAGCAUUUUUAGAAAUGCUGGUGAGUUCAUAAGUAUUUCAUGUCAUUUUAUCCAAAUAACUUUAUAUAAGUAGUAGUUUUAAAGUAUACAGUGAAUUAGAGUCCUUUCCAGAAAAUCCUAUAUUUUCUAAUUAAAAGCAGCCCUCUACCAAGACUGGACAGAGUUAUGUGGUAAAAAGUACUUUUUCCUUAGCACUAUCAUUAUCAAAAUGUGGUAAUUAUUUUGAAAUAAAGCAGGAGAAUAUCAGGGAAAAUGACAUAUGCCUCAACAGUGAAAACUGCUGACUAAGGCAAAAAGAAAUCAUAGACUCCAGGAGAGUUUCGAAUGAACGGUACGCCUGGCUCAGUCUAACAAAAGGGAGACACAGACCCCAGACAGUAUCAACUGAAUGAUACGUCUAGCAAGGUCUAAAAACAGUGAACACAGACCCCAGACAGUAUCAACUGAAUGAUACGUCUAGCAAGGUCUAAAAACAGUGAAUACAGUGAAUACAGUGUUAAAACCCGUUACCUUAAGGCCAUGAAUUAUAAGGUAACCCCAAGAUAUCGUGAAGUUUAAGCGUACUGUGAAGUAUAAGCAUAUCGUGAAGAAGAAGUGUAUCGUGAAGUAGAAGUGUGUCGUCAAGUAAAAGUGUAUCAUGAAGUAAAAGUGUUAACAAAGUAGUAGCAUUUUCUAAGAGGAAGUAUAACGAAGCAGUAGUAUCUAACAAUGUAGGAGUAUAAAAACAUGGAAGCAAACUUUGAUGAAAAACUUGGGGAAAACCUUUAUACUUGAGAAAAUCACGUCUUGGUAUUCUUUUGUAAAAUAAGUUUUAAUUGAAACUUUAAUAAAAUGUUUUAGGUAAAGAAAACCUUUGUUUAAAAUGCUGCUGUAACUGAAUUUGAAAUAAAACAUACAGCGCGAGAGACAAUUUGAGAAGAGCUUUGAACAAGUGAAAACAUUUUAGAAAACCAUUUACAGUAUCAUUCUUGGUAAAACAGUUGACAGUGUAAUAAAUCCUUGUGCAUGCGGGUUAUCAAUCACAUGUGAUUGAUAUGAUAACUGGCGUGUUUAACUUGUAUCCCCCUCAUAAAAGCAUGUAGAAACAUUUAAAAGGUUAAUUCAGGGGUAUGAACUCACCUGAUGUAAGUGGAUCCGUCGAAGGUACCGGUUGGGUGCUCGGUGUCAAGUAAAGACUUGAACACACUUAGUGACCUAUUAACAUAUGAUAAUAUAUGUUUACAUACAAUUAGUAAAUAUAAUACUAAUUAAUUAAGUAUACGCAUCCUUAAGUGCGGAAAACACUUUGGUUAAGUGCUAGGGGUGUCCCGGGUAACAUGUAAGGGUGUGUAUGGCUUACAUAAGGAGUUUACUCUUCAAGAUUAAACUCUUUAUAGAGUUCACGACCCUGGGACUAACUCCCCAUCAGUUUACGACCGUAAACUCAUGGUGAGUGUGUUCUAGGGUAACAUUAGGCUAGGUCCAAAUAUAAAGCAUAUGAAGGGGUUUAAGUCUCUUAAAGGACCACUUCAGGAGUUUACGGCCCUAAACAAGGAGUUUACGGUCGUAAGCUCCUAUAUACUCAUUCCUUUGGUGUAUUAGGGUCUUAAAUGGUAGGAAAUAAAGUUCUAUGCAUUUUCCAAGUCAAAUGAAGGAGUUAGGGCAUCAUUUUGGCACUUAAUGGGAGUUUACGGCCCAUGGACCUUUCCUAGGGGGGUUUACGGCCAUAAACUCCUAUUUCCUUGGAUUUAUUGAAGUUUAAAGCCUUUACUUCAAUGGGUUUGCUUCUAGACAUUUUUCCAAGGCCAUAGGAGGUGUUUGAGGGCAUUUCUAACACUUGAAAUUGAGUUUACUCCCCAUGAAGAGGAGUUUACGGCCCAAGCAUGCUCUUGGGCAGUAAACUCAAGUUUACUCCCCAAAAGUUAAGUUCAAUGUGUUCUAAGUCCGUUUCCAUAAGUCAUUUAGCCAUAUCUAAGCCUUAGGGGUAGUUUAGAGGGGUUUUGGGGCUUAAAAACCCCAUUUAAUGGUGUUCACGGUACAAGAGUGUUCUUGGGCCGUAAACACAUGAAUCUACCCCUAUUUGAUGUUUUCAACAUGAAUUUGCAUGCUAGCUAAGUAGUACAACAAGUUAAGGUAGAUUGCUUACUCGUUUGGGGCUCGAAACGGACGAUUUUUGGCUCGAAAAAUAAGUUCUAGAGAGAGAGUGGAGAGAGGGUGAAAAAGUAUCUAAUGGACUCUACUCCCCCUUAUAUAGGGGUUUGAGUUGGGGCUCAGUGGAAAUCUACCCGAUACUGCCGCUAAACAGGGCUUUUGGUCGCACCCGAUUUAGUGGUAGUAUUUCGACUUGGUUGAAACUAACAUUUUUCCAAUGGAUUAAUGAGGAUGUUUCUAAUUUAUUUCAAUCCUUAUAAAGUCAUUUAAAAAGUCCCAAAUUAAUUAACUGGUCCAAAAGUUAACAGACAGUUAAAUAAAACGAGGCUUAUUAACGGAAGAAGGGGUUAAAAAUGACGGAAUAAAUUUCGGGUUGUCACAGUAUGAAUGCAGGCACGUAUACUUAAAUAUUUUAUUAUUUAAAGUAUAAACUCUUGGUCAGAGUAUUUUAAUCCCAAUGUAUUUAUAGUUAGUAUAUCUUUUAUGGGUUGAUAUACUUAAUUCACUAUAAACAAUGCUCUGAUACCAAUCUGUCACACCCCAAAACCAUAAACGACGGAAACGUUCUGGGGCGGAGGACGUCAUUUACAGUAUCAAAACAAUGAAUAGUAGUAAAAGAGAAACAACAUCAUCCAUUGCAUUAAUAAUAUUAUUUUAAUACAAGUGUGUUAUGUCAAUAUAUAAUAGACACUAAAGAAUAAAUCAAAAUGAAUGAUGCGUCUUGAACGAGCACCAUUUUCCCUAAACCUUGCAUCGGUACCUGUCUUAUUUUGAAAUAGAGUAUUAGCUUUAAAGCUGGUGAGAUCAUAAGUAUUUUAGUGUCAUAAUUUGUAUGUAAGUAUUUGUAUGUAUAUGAACUGUAAGUAUUGAAAAUGUAUAUGAACUGUAAGUAUUGUAAGUGUAUAUGAACUGUAAGUAUGAAAAUGUUUUGUAUGAUCCUAUGAAGCCCUAUGUUUCCUACUAAUUGUAUCCUUCUACCAACGCAUCUAGUGUCUGUGUGUGUUCCUCUUGUAAGAAUGUGUAUUUUCCCAAAUCUGACUAUCAUUAACCAAAAAUAUAGUUGUUGGGUCAAUAUUUUGGUUUAUACUUUGCUUUUCUAGGAAAUUGAUUUGUUAUGUAAUAUUUUACAUGUGUUUACGGUCAGGAAGUGUGUUUACGACCGUAAACAGAGUUUACGGCCGUAAACCCAGUGUUUACAACCGUAAACCCAGUUUGUGGCCCAAGUGUAUAUAUAUUGGGGUGAGGGGUGUGAGGAAAAGGGUGAUGAACACCAAGGAACUUAAGUGUGUGCAUUUCAAGGUGUUCUAGAGAGAGAAAAGAGAGUGUGUCUUGGUGUGGGUGAAUCUUUGUAUCCGGAUCUUCAUUCUACUCAUAUCAUACAUAGAUUCAUCAUCUUCUUCUUAUUCUCCUUCUGUUCUAUUUGAUCUGACAUCAUCUGUUUGAAUGGGAUUCCGCACCAUCUAACGGAUCUGAUUGAUACAAAAGCAUAUUUGGGGACUUACAAUUGGUAUCAGAGCUUGGUUGUAUCACUCAUUUUUUUCAGAUCUGGAGCUUAUUUGGUCUUAUUUUGAAGAGAGUUUUGCGUUUUUGGAUAGAUCUCGCAAAAAUAAGGGGGGUUUCUUCUUCGCGUUUUUCCAAAAAACGAGUUUUUGAUCGAGUUUUGGAGCAAAAAAGGUGAAAAAACGUUGUUUUUCGUCAAGAACAACGAUUUUUGGAGAGUUUACGGUGUUUGAAGGGUUUACUGGCCGGAGUUUACAGCCGGAAACUGGUCGCCGGAGUUUGCGGCCGGAAACCGGUCGGAGGAGGCUUGCGGCCGACAGUUUGCGGCUCGACUUGGCUUGGAUUGAUUGUGUGCGGCUCAGCUCGGCUCAGAAGGAGUCUUUGAUCGUCAGCGCGCUUCAAAAAGGGGGGACUGAUUUAGGGGUUGUCGGGGAUCGAACCGGAACCUCUGGUUGAACAUCACAGCGUUUUACCACCUCACCUAGCUGACAACUUGCUUCAUUCCUCCGAAAAUUAAUUCAAAAAGUGUCCCUCUCGGUUCAACUUUCGCAUUCUUGUCAUUUUCAGCUCAAAAUUGAUUUUUCUUUUAUUUUAAAUUCCUUUUUCAAACCAAAAAUUAUAGUUUUUAAAUUUUGACUUUUAUUUUUGGCUUUUUACUUAAAUUUUUGACUUUGACUUUUAAAAUUUGACCAUUGACUUUAAACUUUGACUUUCUCGUUUGACUUUUAAAUUUUCAAAUUUAGUUUUUCGGUUUGACUUUUAAGUUUGACUUUUCAAGUUUGACUUUUUAAAUUUGACUUUUUAAGGUUGACUUUUAAGGUUUAUCGUGAAAGGGCAUAUUUUUUUUUUAAUUUUAAGUUUGACUUCUAGUUGUGUUUUUAAUAGUUUUUUAAGUUUACGAGGGAAUUGAAAAACAUGAAAGAGAGUCGUCAGGAUCAGUUAAGGCAAAAUUUCAACAUGUUUGAUUAUAUCCCUGGAGAAACCCUAGAAGCUCAGUUGCAGCGAUUUACUACACUCACUACUGAGAUGAAUAUAGUUGGGAUCUUCGUGUCCAAAUCUGAGAUAAACAAAAAGCUAUUGAAUUCACUUCCGAAAUCGUGGGAUAUGAACGUGGCUAUCAUCAAGAAGACAAAAGAUCUCAACCAUCUUAGUCUUGCUGAUGUAAUUGUAGAACUUGAUACUUUGAAGUAUAGAAAAACAAUGAGUUCUGAUAUCAUUCCGGUCAUUGAAGUUACACGUACUCCAGCUUGUGAAGCUACGAUUAAAUUUCUUCGGGAACAAAUUGAUUUAUAUAAAAGAGAAGUUGAGGACCUGAGAUAUGAAGGAUAUGAACUCAGGAAAGGAUAGAAACCCCUGAAGGCUGAAUUAGAAACAAAAAUAAAGGAUUUUAGAAGAAUUCAGGCAGAGUACAGUGAAAAAUGUGAACUUUAUGACUAUACUAAGAGAUAACUUGCUGCUGUAACUGAAGAACUUGAUGCUUUAAAAAUUAAGUGGGGAAAAGCAAACGUUAGUUUUAAAAAUUAUACUGCGUCAAGUCAGACAGUCGAGUCCUUAUAUGACACCCAUUUAAAAUUCAAAGAAAAUCAAAACAAGGGUCUGGGAUAUGAUAGUGUACCUCCUCCUUAUAAUCAUAACUACACAUCCAUCCCUAUGACACAGGACGAAACUGACAGGGAGGCACAUCUUCGAUAUGGAAAACAAGCUGGAUUUGUGUCAGGAGGAGUUAUUAAUAUUGAAGAUACUUAUGUUGUUGCUCCAUGUGCAUGUAAAGUAGCAAAAGAUGAGAACAAGGAGAGUACCAUUGAACAAAACAACAUCUCCAUGAACUCUGAAUUUGUUGCUUCGAACUCAACUGCUUCUUUCAACUUGCCGUUGAGAAAUACAGGCCACCAAUUCCAACUCAACCGAGUUCUUGUGGGAAGUGUGCAUGUGGGAACAACAAGAAACAAGGCAAAGCUACGCCACCAGGGGCAGGAAGAGACAACUUCACAGUGAAGAAAAAGACAUGUUUUCACUGUAGAACACCUGGACACAUUGCCAGAAAUUGUCCAAAUCGCGCACAUGUUCCCUACUAUGCACAAGACUGGCAGAACGCGCCAAGAGGGAGAUAAUUCAAAAGAAACCCCUUGAGAUCAUGAUCAGACAUUGACGACUGGAAUGCCAAGAAGGCCAAGAAUUCAACUCCUAAGGCCAAGAAUCAAACUCCAAAGGCCAAGAAUCCGAAUCCGAAGGGCAAGAAGGGAAUGCCGGCCAAAAAGCCAAAUCAAAGAGAUGAUCCCGUGAAGUCAAAAUGAAAGUCAUCUUGAAGAUCGGCUUCAAGUUACAAAGCAAGUACCGAGCCACCCAUCAGAUCGAAAAAGAAAUGGGUUAAACCCAACUACAAAUGGGUUCCAAAGGCUCACUCUCCCAAAUCAACUAAUGACUCUAACGUUUCUUCAUCCUCUGUUUGUGAUAAACAGGAUAUGUCAUGGGAGAGAGUAUCGUGUGUUGAUGACAAAGGUCGACCCAGUUUCAAAAUGGAUUGGGUUCCAAAGACCAACUGAUCCCGCUCUGUGUCGGAGCAGCUAUGGAGGCAUAUCAUCAGACUUCGGUUUGUUGGUAGUAGCUGUUCCAGCCACAUGAUAGGAGGCAUCUCUCAACUAUAUAACACUCAAAACAUUGUUUCGAAGAAUGUGUCCUUUGCGGGAAGGGAAGAAAAGAAGUGAUCACUCACAGGGUUUGUGCUUAAUGACACGAAGAAUUUUCGGAUCUGUUUUGAGUUUAUGCGUGCUGUUCUCAGACCUUCUGGAUGCAAAUUCAAUCGGUGACUUACGAUUUGAGUUUUCUUCUCUAUACUCCUGAGUUUUUCUUAAGCUGAUUCGCUUUAAAGAAAUUUUUUGUUUUAGGAUAGUUUAAAUUUGUGCAUUUACUUUCGUUUCUCUCCUAUGCACAAAUUUAGGGGGAGAAAUGAAAACGAAACAAAAAUUAGAAAAGUUUAAAAAAUCCAAAAACAUUAGAGAAUCAGAAAAUCAAAAAAUUAUGUUGGUUAUGAUAUGUGUUUGAGGGAGUUGUUUUGGGAAGUGAUAUGAUAAAGUGAUAACAGGCAACCUGAGUCUGCGUAGCGUACCCGAAGUUGAAGGGUCUAUGCUCUGGUUUGAUGCAUCGGUAGGCACGAAAUUUUUUAAAUGGAUUUGACUAGGGAGAGUUGAACUUAGGAAAUUUAUAGACUUUACAAAUCUUGACCUAGUUAGAUCCGUUUAGCCUGACAAUACGACNGACAAUACGACGCUCUGAUAGGUUGAGCAGGGAGAUAUAUACGGGAAUCUACUCAUCACAUUAAUUGAACCCGUACUUGGAACCAUGGUUUAACUUUUCCUCGAUGUGCAGAUUCUGUCCUUAAUUCCGGUUGGAUGGAGCGACUGGUAAAUUCCGAUAAAUUUGGUAUGUAGAAUAUCAUUUUCUUUCUUUCCGUCUGUUAGUCAUAUGUUGUCUCCUUUACGCGACUUCCAAUCCGACCUGGUACACAACAUAUGCAACUCUAUUUCUCUGCAGGUUAUAUAUGUGAAAGACUUCUUAUCUGUUAGCCAUAUGUUGUCUCCUCUGCGCGACUUCUAAUCCGACCUGGUACACAGCAUAUGCAACCUUCUACUUCUCAACCCCUCUGAAGUAAUAAGUAAUAAGUAAUAGAAUUCUGAAUCUAUCCUCUCUCUGAAUGGUUGUCUGCUCACCCGGUGUAAGGACUACUCUGGAAUUUCUUGAUGGCUUGGGCACAUCAGGAAGCAGGAAACACGUUCUAGUACACUUAAAAUUGAACACAUACAGAUUGUCUAUAGAUCUCGCUGCUCAAUUUAGGUGGACAACAAUAUCCCUGGUCGUCAACAGAUGAAUGGUCCUUAAGAUAUAGUAUCUAAGUUAUUAGGAUCAGAUAUAAUUUUUAGGAACUUAAGUCCACCUUGUCUUGUAACAAAUAGUAUGUCCUAAAUCUGUCUCAAUUUUUCGUGUUUAAGUGGACAACAAUACCGACGAUCGACCAGACAAAGAUGUGAACAUGAAAGGUUCCGACAAGUGGAUAAAGGCUGUCUAAAAACUUUGAUCCCAAAUCAUUCUUAAAGUUAGAUAUCACUUUUAUUUUUGAUAAAUUUGUCAUAGUUUCUUCUAAUCUAAAUUGUAGGGGAGAAUUAAAAAUUAAAAAAUAAUAAAAAAAAUCAAAAAAAUUCAAAAAUCAAAGAAAAAUCAACAAAAAUUAAAAAUCCAAAAAUAGUGUUAUUUCUGUUUUAUUUCUUGUUCAGAAAAAUCAAAAAUCCUAAAAUAUUUUUUUUUCUGUUUUAAUUUGUGUGCUAAGUUUUUUCUUUUAGUUUUGUUUUGUCUUGAAAAGUGAUUUCAGGUAUAGAUAAGACUCAUGGAGUUUGUGUUGAAGAUUUCUGAGCCAAAGGCUUCGUCCGUGAGCAUCGAAUAAUUCUCAUUCAAAGGAGCAAGAAAUGAAGAUUAUUCUUUCAACAUUCAUUCUUUCAACCCAAGAAGCAAGGUGAAGCUGAAACUGAAGAUUAUGUGUCGGAUUGCAUUGAAGCCUCCUCAAUCAGUCUGCUGCUAUCUUAAACCUGCGGAAGUGAUCCAGAAGAUUUCUUCUCUCUGAUGUUCUCUCUGAAGAUUCUCAAGCUGAAUGCACUAUCUUUCAAGAAUCAGUAUGUCAAGCCUCCUCACCCAAUGUGUGUUCAAUGCCAAAUUCAGAAGAAAAUCCCAACCACUCAAGAUGAAGUCAUUCAUUGAAGAUUCAUCAUGUUCAUCUUGAAGUCGUGAAGAAUUUGAAGAUUAAUGCUGAAGCCAAGUUCCCAAUGAAGAUUAUCAAGAAAGCCAGCUACUUUUUAGGGGGAGCUUGUUGGGUCAUUUAAGAAAAGAAAAGAAAGCUAUAAAACAAGGGGAGAUUGUUGGGUCAAUAUUUUGGUUUAUACUUUGCUUUUCUAGGAAAUUGAUUUGUUAUGUAAUAUUGUAUAUGUGUUUACGGUCAGGAAGUGUGUUUACGACCGUAAANUAUAUAUAUAUAUAUAUAUAUAUAGGGGGGAGGGGAGUGAGGAAAAGGGUGAUGAAUACCAAGGAACAUAAGUGUGUGCAUUUGAAGGUGUUCUAGUUAGAGAAAAGAGAAUGUGUGUUAGUGUGGGUGAAUCUCUGUAUCCGGAACUUCAUUCUAAUCAUAUCAUAAAUAGAUUCAUCAUCUUCUUCUUAUUCUCCUUCUCUUCUAUUUGAUCUGACAUCAUCCGUUUGGUUAGGAUUCCGCACCAUCAAACGGAUAUGAUUGAUACACAAGCAUAUUUGGGGACUUACAAUAAUUUCUACAUGACCAAGCGUCGUGUGAAUGUUCACGAAGUGAAUGUAAUGGGAAAAUGAAAUAGUACUAUGGUGUAGUGUCAGACUACAACCGUACUAAUUACCUUAAGUCUAGGGUAACUCUUCUAAGUACUGUAGUAUUUGUAAUAAAUGACUACUUCUGUACUCCUAUUACCUUAUUUGAGGGAUAAGGUAUAAUGUGAUGGAUAGAUCACAGGCUAGACACUCCCCUGUCAAAGGGAUUUUGAAACCUUUACAUGCCCAUGCAUGUAUGCACGCCGUGAACAUCCACAUUACCAUGAUCAUGUAUACCCGAUAUAACUAUCACAAUGCGUUGCGAUUCAUCGGUAUAGUUAGAUCCUGAACUUGUUCUGUGCUAUAGCACCUAGUGACGCCUGUCCUAUUAUCGUAUAUGUAAGCGUACUCAUGUAAGUGUAAUCAAGUAAAUGUACUCAUGUAGAUUUCUAUGUAAAUGUAUAGUAAUGUAAUGUAAUGUUCUACGUGUGCUAGCUGUAAUGUGUGUUCUCUCUCUAUCUAGCAUGUAUAGUAAUGUACUGUGUGUACUAGCUAUAAUGUAUCUUCUCUCUAUAUAGCAAGUAUUGACUCAUGAACGAACUGACUCAUUGUAUGAUAUCGCAUUCUAGUAAUAGUUCUAGUAUCUCCCUAAACUACCCAUAUGGUAGCUUACUAGUAAUAUAACUGGUACGUAUGAACAUGGAAGUAUACCCUUGCUACCCAAGGGUAUUGGAUGAACUGGAAGGACCUUUAUGACUAUAUAUGUACAUAUGAUAUAUAACUAAUAUUUAAACAACCUUCGGACGGAUACCCGAUGUCCCACCAGACCACAUGUCAAGCACGAAAAGGAAAUAGGGUCGAUAGCCUUCCUAUGUCUUUUAAACAUUUCUUAUAUAACUAUACAUAUAGAGGCAUGCAAUUGAUAAUAUAAAAGCAUAAGAUAAGUUUUGUAAAACAUUUGAACAUAAUUAUUAUCCAAGAAAAGAUCGAGUUGAUGUCAAUCUAUAAAACGGUUUGAAAGCAUGGGUUUGAUAAAACAAUUUAAGUAUAAAGAAACAUUUGUUUGAAACAGAAUUGUAAAUGAUUUUGAAAUUAAACAUACAGAGUAAAAUGUAUAGUUUAAUAAGCAGUUUUAAACAUAUAAAGUAUUUAUGAAGAUCGUUUGAAGGAAACUAUUUGGUAAAACGACUAAUGAAUAGUAGAUCAUUUGAAUACUGCCUGUUAAUCACAUAUGGUUGAUAUAAUAAGUAGCAUGAUUCUACUUGUAUCCCCCCCAUAAAACAUUUAAAAACAUUUAAAACAUUGAUUAAGGGGUAUGAACUCACCUAUUGUGGGUGAUACGGAUGAACUGAAGAGGUAGGACUGCUAGGUGUCAAUUGAAGUCUUGAACACACUCUAUGAUCCUAGUUAACAUAUAAUAUCACAUAUAUGUAGAAAAUUAGUCUAUAAACAACUAAUAAAUAAGUCAAGACACCCUAGGACAUGCUAAACACCUUUAUAAAGUGUUAUUAGCCUCUAGGAUUGAAUCUAAGUGUUUGUAGGGGAAGCUAUUGUGUGUAGGGUUCAAGGAAAACUCCAUAAGGGAGUUCACGGCCCUAAUGGCACUACCAAAUGAGUUUAUAAUCGUAAACUCAUGAGUUUACGGCCGUAAGCUCAUACUUAUGUGUCCACUUGAUGUUUGAUGCAUUUCAAGGCUCUAAGAAGAAAUUCUACUUAAUGGCUUGGUCUAUGGAAGAGUUUAGGGCAUUAUAUAACUCCUUUUAGGAGUUUAUGGCCCUGGGACUAAAUCCCAUGGAGAUUAUGGCCGUAAUCUCCCUUGAAUGGGUGUUUUUGGUGUUUUCAAGUCCCUAAUUUAACUAGGAACUAAACUAGGCUAGUGUACAUGGCUUUAGAAGAGGUUAUAGCAUUUGGCCGUGAAAACCUUACUCUUGGUGUUCUAAUGGUGUUCGCUAGACCUAAACACAUUAGGGUACAUGUUUAAACUAGUCUCUUGGCUUAAGGAAGGCUUUUAGGGCAUUUUGACACCUUAAAAUUGAGUUCACGGCCCAAGAACAUCCUUGGCGGUUAACUCACUUCUAGCUUUUGUUUCUUAAUGAUUUUGUGGUCUGAACAUGUCAUGGUAGUUUAUAGGUUGAGCUCCAAGUCUUGGAGGGACAUUGGGCACACUUUGGCCCUUAUAAAAAAGUUUACUCUCCAAGGUGUUCUUGCGCGGUAAACUCACAGAUCUUAGUGUUUUGCAAUGAUUUCUAGCGUAUUAAGCAUAUAAGAAGCUUUAAAACAACACUAGAUAGAAGUACUCACUUUCCGGAACAAAAGUCUGAAGAUCCUUGAGAGAGAACUCGACUUUUCUCUAGUUGGAAAUGUAACUAAUGAAUAAAUAUGGUUCAACAUUCUAUAUAUAGUCUUGGGAUUUUUGGUAGAAAAUAAUUUAUUCCCGAGAUAAACUCUAAUAUCAUAGAGUUUUGGAAUAACAGCGUUGUACAAAACCCUUGUUCAUCCACUCUCCUGAUAUCACCUUAAGUGUAAAUAAUGAACUACUCAAACUUAUACCCAAAAGUCUGGAAAUGCUCUGUAACUGUUCGAAUCUUCUAUUGACUUGAUAUGGUUUGUACAAAAUGGAAAUUUCGGGUUGUCACAUCAUCCCCAUGCUUAAGGGAAUUUCAUCCCGAAAUUAGAAUUUAGGUAAGGAAGUAGGUAUGAAUGAUCGAGUCGUGAGGUGGAAACUUCCUAAUCGAUUGGUUCUCGAUCUCCUAAGUGAAAUCGGGUCCUCGUUUGGUAUCCUAACGAACCUUCACUAACGGGCGACGAUGUUGCUUCGUCCGCUUGACCUCUCGGUUGAGGGUCACUACGGUUCUAAUACGAAGCGUGGAUCUCGUCUAGUGGACUUACAAGAGUCCUAACGGAAAGGUAUGGUUUCAAAAUCGAGACGCGAAAGGUAAAAUAUAUGUUACUGAGUUCGCGGAGUAGGUCUAGUUUGCGAGGUAUAGGACCGAUUCUGGCAAGAAUCUCGGAGGUUGUAACUAUCUCGGAUUUAGCUUUCCACGCUUUAUGAAGCGUAUUAAGCCAUUCCCAGAGUGAGAUUUCCUAAAGAAUUUGGUCUCUCACUUGGAAUUCCAAAGGUUCUUUCUCUUGCAAAACUUCCCAGUCAAGGGCCACCCCUUGCUGGGUCAAAGUCGAAAAGGGUUUCUAUAAUUUGUGAGGAGUUCUUGAUGAUCUAUGACCGUAGGUCUGUAAGACCUAGAAUUUGGCGAAUAUCUGUCGGCGGCUCUGGUGUCGACAAAUUCUCAAUGGUUUUGACAAAUUGAAAGAGUACUCAAAAUUCCCCACAUCACUAAUAGUGUGUCUUAGGAAAUUUUUACUGUUCAAUUCCAAAACUCGUGUUUAGAGAACUUAGUGAGAAGUAUCUCCGAGGGUAAUGUUUCCACGGGUUCCUUCUUACUAUGAGGGGAGAUAAGUAAGUCAUUACAUGGAGAAAUGACGAAUUGAUCCAAUUAAGAAAGACGGACCCUAUUCAUUAGACUCAUGAAUGCUUCGGGCGUAUUUGUCCUAUCCGAGGGGUAUCACUACGGAUUCGAAGUGUCCGCAUUGAGUUCGGAAGGUAGUCUCUCGGACAUCCUUUCCUAACACUCAAACUGGUGAUGUUAGGAUCUCAGGUCCAUUUCUGAAAGUAAUUCUUUCCUUGAGUUUGCUCAACCAAUUGAUGUAUGCAGGGCAGAGACAAUGAUUUCUAAUGGAAAAAUCUGGACGGAGUUCUCAAUAGCCGAGGAACAUACGAUGCAAUCAGUCGAUCUCUGGAAGAAUAAGACUGGAGUUCUCUAGGGUGAGAAGCCUAGUCUUCUAAUUCUAUUUCUGUGUAGUUCGAUAAGUUGUCCGGACUAUUCUUGUAUCUCCGUAGGUGUUUAUACUGAAGGGCGAUCUGUUUACAGAAGUCAUACUAGGUUCUAAAUUUGUUCACAUGACGAUGCGAUUACUCGUAAGCUUGGGCAGUUCUUCGUCCUAAAGUUCAUAUUAGAAUUCAUACAUGGUUUCACAAUCACAGUCUCGUGUAUACGAGUUGUAUAUAAUUAAGAUUGAAAAGGUAGUCGAAUAACUGAUUCUUCUUUAAGCUCACAUCCCAUCGAGGAAAAAGAAGUUAAAGUGGAAUCAUCAAUUCUAAACCUGUAGAACCUUGAUUAUAUAUUACCCUUAUGUAUACAUUCCUCAGUGAUAGAUCAACCGAAUGAAUCCUUGGAUUAAACUUGACGUACUGCACGAGUGGUAGUUCGGGGAUUUCUUUGGAAAAGAAAAUAACUAUGGGGUACUCCAGGCAUGAGUACUUCGAUGCUCUGAAAUGAUGGUUUCGCUAAAAAGACAUUUAUUGAUAAAGAGAUGUACGUAUGAAGCUGUUUUGUGAGGAUCAAAUUGAAUCAAGUCGUAUGAUAAUGUCUGAAUCCUACUGAAACUUAAAGACAUUAGAUUUGAACAUAAGACGUUUACAGACAAAACACAACUGUGCAACCAUCAACAGAGUUACAGCACUUUAGAUUUACUACAAGACUAUUUUUGCGAAUAAGGUAUACUACAAAAGACAAUUAUACACAGCACGAGCAUCCUUUUACUGAUAGGAUCCCGCAAAAGAUAAGACUCUAGUUGCACUAGUUCUGGAUAGUUUGCAAGUCUGUUACAACAACACGCCUAAGUUACAUUAACAUGGUUCCGAAGGAGGUUCUCCUGCGGCUGUGAUCCUGAGAAUCUUCCCAUCUGCGCUGGAGUUCUUUGCUAUAGGGUAAUCCUUCUUGAAGUGCCCUAUUUCACCAUAUUUGUGGCAUGGCUGACUAGUACUUAUAUUGGUGGCGGGAGUGAUGUGUCGAGCUAGAGUGACGUGGACACGAGUGUUCUCCUUGUUCAUCCACUUUGAAAUUUUCCUUUCAUAGGGUCUAGUUUUAACACCACCAUCAUAGGCCUGGUUGACUCUCAUGUCAGGGGCUUGAGUGAUGGGUCAUUGCGGUGCUCCAUAGCUACGAGCAUAGUGCCCUAUUUUUAGGCAAUUGCAACAUUGCAUCUCAUGGCAAGCCCCAUGAUGAUGGAAAAUACACUUAUCACACUUCGGAAGUUUUGCCUAGUCUGGUCUGCUCGGUACAGGGAUGGCAGGGAUUUCCACUUUCUGCUGUUGCAUGACCAGCAUUUGGGAUUUCUUGUGUUCUUUCUGGGCUUGACGCUUUCGUUUCUUGUUCUUUGUUUUUCGGAUUUGUGAUCAUGUGACUGUUACUGUUUGAUGACUUCCUGGAUUGAUACUACGAUCGGAAUCUUCAACCCCAACAUCAGCAUAUCUUGUGCUGAUAGCGCUACCGUGCGCAAGGACAAUUAUCACGGAAGCCAUCAUGGCAGUUGUAAUUAUGGUUUGAAAGGUAGCGGCGUCCAUAGGAAAGGCAGGGGUUUCGUUGCUCGGCUGAUUAUUUCCGGAUGACGACAUGAUUCUGUAACACGAAAGAUAAGGAUUUUGUGAGCAAUUCUGGUUGAUCCUAGAUGUACUUCAAUCGUUAAAGAAAAGAGUAAGACUAUGUUCUCGAAAGUUUGACCUAUAUCCUUAUGAUGCAGUCCUAGCACAGAAUGGAAGUAUGUUUGUGAAGGUUUGACCUACAUCCAUAUGAUGUAGUCCUAGUACUGAGUGGAAGUGAGUUCGAACACUGGUCUCAAGACGUUUGACGUUCCAGCCGAGGUAUCGUUGGUUGGUGAAUAACAUGAUCCAACCACUGAAAGAGACUUGGAAAUGUCUCCGGAGUUAAAUUACUAUAGUCAAAUGACUUGACUAAAGCAUGUUUCAGAUAGUCUCUAAUGAAAGUAUGAUAAGAGUACUUGAAUAAAGAAUGACACAGAAGUUAGCCGACUGUCAAUAUCUUUGAUAUUCACGACAUAAAAGUUCAAGAGAAUGACCUUGUAAAAGGUCUUAAAUCAUAACCAGAGAAGAUAGUCCUUGACAGCAUAAAGACCUAACCAAAAGUACCUACGCUACAAGAUAAGUUCAUAGAAAAUGCCACAUCGGGCAAAGAUAGAAAAACGAUUCCUUUUGACAAGGACAAUAAAGUAAAACAUCUACUACUGGUGACGGUCAUCCCUCUGGUGAACUCUCAGUUCAGCCAGUUGACGUUCCACAUCAAGUAGGUGUCUUUCGUACACCCUCUGGCGUACUCGGAGCUUUAUGACUUCGGCUCGUGAUUCAACCAGUUCUUGCACCAGGGUUUCAUGGUUUCUCUCAAAUCUCUCACGAGCGUCUUCUAGACGAAUGGUGUGGAGGGUAUGCAUUAUCGCAUCGGCGACAACUUCUGUGAUCUGAUGUAGGGCUGUCCUGCCCCGAAUCUCAUUUCGGGCCACUCUGUGGACCAAGAUUGGCAAGAUUCUAUCUGCUGAGCCCCCAUUACUCAGGUCAUAGAAGCUUCGGCCAACAUUAAUGGGCUGGUUUUGUCCUUGGCUCCAUGUUUCCAAGCAUUCCACCCACUUAGGCAUCGGGCCUUGAAAAGCGGGACGAGGGUUAGGAAUUGGAAUGGGAGCUGCCUGGGGUAGGUUCUCAACCUCGGGUUCGGAGUUAGAACCGUCCGAAAGGUCUUCAUCAUGGUGAUCAUUCACAAGGAUAGGAUGAUCAUUCUCUGGCUCUUCUUCAAACCAUCCAGCAAUGACCUCGUUCGGAAGAUACUAGUUGCCGUGGGGAUGGAGUCCAGCCAUGUUAUCUAUGCGAGAAUUGGGGUAAGAAAAUAACUAUUAGACGAACUAUCUACAUAAUUAUUUAGAAAAUCUUCAUUAGUUACAUCGCUAUUUGUGAAGUGCAUACUAGUUAUAUGUAAUCGAAACAUGAUAGGCCUUCGAAUAAGUGACCUUAACUCCAAAUUCACACAUAAUAGGGGUAAAGUAAAAUUUUCAUAGAUUCUAAGUCUAUAAAAUCCUAAUUACAUAUAUCCUUAGUGUAUCCACUUAGCUACUAUCAACUUAGUAAUGAAGAUCCCGUUUUAGUUCUCAAGUAUAAAGUACGUAUAGUAACACCAAAUACCCUUAUAGUAUUUUAAGUUUAAUGUUAUGUUUCUUGGAUAUGGUGUCUAAGUCCAUAACUAUAUUUGGUAUGUACUUGACCCGACCCGGCAUGGUCCAUUUGGGUUGCACUUCACCCGAACAAUUUAUGGAUAAUCUUUUGAGAAUAGUACAAGUUAUGAUUUAUUAAUAUAUUAUAAGUUCUAAUAUAUUAAUAUAAGAUCAUAUUAUUUAAUUAGUAUUGAUCUAUAAUUAAUCUAGGAUUAAUUUAGAGAUCAAAGAUGUUACUAAUUAAAUAUGGACUUCUAUAUUUAUAUAGUGUGGGCUAAUGCUUAUUUGGAAUGGGCUAGGCUUGCAUGGAAAGUCCAUGGAUACUCCAUGGAGCUUUAACCCAUGGAUCUCAUGGAAAUGAAGAGACAUGGGUAUUAGGGUUUACAUGGAUGUAACCCUAAUCCACCACACUAUAUAAAGGAGGUUUUGGUUCUUGAAAUCACACUAGUUGAGGUGAGUAAAGCAAGAGGGCCGAUUUCAAGAUAGUAGUGACUAUUCUCUCAAAGUUCCAAGUUUGUGGUGAUUUGUGAUUUCCAUUUGAGGCAUCCACACUAUUGGUGCUAGGCUCUAAAACUCCAAGGAAUCAACUACAACUACAAGGUAAGUAUUUCUACUAGCUUUAUUUGAUUCAAGUUCCCCAUGCCAUGCUAGUUAGGAUAUGAACCUUGGAAAAAUAAUUAUUUGCAUGUAUCUUAGACAAACAUAGAUCCAAGGUUUAUUAGGGUUGCAUGUACACUUAGGAAGUGUUAGAAUGCUCAAAACCCAUCAGUGGUAUCAGAGCCUAGGCUUGUUUGUUUGAUACUUGAUGCAAAAUAGUUGAAAAAGUCGAAAAACUUGCUGUCUGCCUGAUGAACUCGCCGAGUCCAUGGGGGGACUCGCCGAGUUCAUGUGUAUCUUCAACCUACUCGCCGAGUAGGUUCAUGCACUCGGCGAGUAGGAGCGACAGAGUGCAGAUUUUCGACUUUAGUUGCUGGAAAUGGACUAGAAACAUUACCCUAAACUGUUUUGGUACUUGAAAACUUGUUUUAGAUGGUGUAAUGUCUUUGCUAAUCCAUUUACAACAACUUGUUAUCAAAAUUACAAAGUUUUAUGUGUAAUUUUUGAUUCAUGAAAGUAUUCAUAUUCAUGUUCUUGAUCUUAUGAUGUUUAUCUGAUCAUAUGAAUUAUUUGUAACCUAUGUGGUAGAUUAAUUCUUGAUCGUUAUGUGUUUUAAUGGAGCCAUAACUUGUCCUCAAGUCAUGGAAAACCAAAAGUCACAUUGAAUUAAAACCAUUAAAAGAACACAAGACUUAGGAAAAAUGAAGAGUCUUCAUUUUUAUUACUCUAUUUAACCUAUAAGUUACAAGAAAUGAAAAGUUUUGAAAGUUUACAAAACUUGCCCUCAAGUUUUGGAACAAGUAAAGUUAUGUUAAAAACUUUAGUUCCAACCCUUAGAAUUUUAAAAUUAAAAAUUCAACCCUUAUACUUAUAUUAUUAUGAUUUAAUAAUUAUAUAUAUAUGUAUAAGAACAAAGUCGUCUUACCGCUAGUACGCCUCAUUCACGAAGCCGGUCUAUAAGGUGGGUAUAAGGUUGUUGCCUAUAAAAUGGCGACUUAAUGGGUGUCCACUCUCACCCACCGCUUGCUUGACCGGUGGAGGGUCGUUAGCCGAACGGGUAAGACAAGGACUUAUUAAUUCUCAUNAAUACUAAGUAACUAAACUCUUAAUAAUACCCAAUCUUAGUUACUUAGGAAAAUGUGAAUAAGGUGCUAAUCCAUGAAAUUACACUUUACACUUUGUCAAAGUCGUUAGUGGAGCGUUUGUGGUUAACCAACACACUAAAUUGGACUUAACAAGGUAGGUAAAGGGUGACUUAAUAUUUAUCAUAGUAUCGAUGGAGCGUGUGUGGUUAACCGACACUUCGAUUGAGGGGUAAUUUAUUAAGGGUACCAAGUAAU
rnacentral:lncRNA from 1 species